UAUAUAUUUAAAUAAUUUGAUAGUUUUUCAAAUUUAAAAAUUUAAAUUAAUUAUCUAUUUUAAUAAAUUUUAAAAAUAAUAGUAAUUCAGUUUAAAUGUAUACAUCUAAAAAGAAUUGGCAUAUAUAUAAUUUAAACGAUAAGGUACAAUAUUUAUUUUAUUUUUUUCUUCUGGUUGUAGUGGAAGAGAUUUUUUUUGUCCCCGUUAACAUGUCAUUUCAAAGAAAAUAAUAAUUGAUGGGAUACUGACCGUUUCUAGAGUAAUAGUUGAUAUCUGAGGUCUCAAAUUCGAAUUCUAGUUGAUUCAUAUUUUCAGCUAAGUUUAUUUCUAAAUGAAAUAAACGAAGCAGGUAGCGUGUUUACCUAUCUCUCAAAAAAAAUAAAAAAUGAUGCGAUGUACAGUAGAAAGAAUAAUAUAUUUUUUUUACUCUGAGAUAUCGUUUGGUUCGAGGAUAAGUAAAAAGUGACUAUUCUAGGAAUAGGUAUAAAUUAAGGUAUAAGCGGGGAUUAGAUCAAUUUUGCGUUUGGAUGAAAAUUAGGUUAUUACUGGGAAUAAAAAAAAUAGCGUUUGGUUAGGUAAGAUGGAAUAAGAAAAAUAGUGAGUUUUAUAAAUAAAAAAUAAUCAUAUUAUCCUCUUAUUAUAUUUGAAUUUAAAUUUUUAAAAUUUUAAAUAUAUAUUUUUAAAUUUAAAAUUUUAACUUUGAAAUUUUAAAUUUUGAAACUUAAAAUCUCAAAUUUUAAAUUUGAAAAAUAUAAAAUAUCAAAUUUUAAAUUUCAAAUUAAAAUAUCAAAAUUUAAAUUUAAAAUUUAAAAUUUAAAAUUAUAAACUUUAAUUUUGAGAUUAUAAAUUAUAAAUUUUAAAAAUUUUUAAUUUUUUCAAAUAAGAAUAGGGGUGGAAACAAUUAAUAAAAAUAAUUUAUUAUAAUAAAUGUAUAAAUUUUUUUAAAAUUCUACUUAAACUUAAAUUUAAUAAAAAGAAUUUAUUAUAAUAUUUAAAUAUAAUUUACUAUAAAUUUUAUUAUAAUAUUUAAAUAUAAAUAAUAAUUAUUAAUUUAGUACAAUUAAUAAUUUUAUAAUAAAAAUAAUGUAUUAUAAUAUAUAAAUUUUAAAAUUUUAAAUUUUAAAAUUUUAAAAUUUUAAAAUAAGAAUAGGGGUGGGAACAAUUAAUAAAAACUAUUUAUUAUAAUAAAUUUAUAAAUUUUUUAAAAAUUCUACUUAAACUUAAAUUUAAUAAAAAGAAUUUAUUAUAAUAUUUAAAUAUAAUUUAUUAUAAAUUUUAUUAUAAUAUUUAAAUAUAAAUAAUAUGUAUUAAUAUAGUACCAUUAAUAAUUUUAUAAUAAAAAUAAUGUAUUAUAAUAUAUAACAUAUUAUAUUUAUAUAAUUUAGUUUUAAUUCAAUUUAUAAUUUUAAUUAAGUUUGAAAUUAAGAAUUGGAAUAGUGCUAUUCCACCAAAAUGGUGGAAUAGCAAAUUCCUUGCUAUUCCGGGAUAAUCGAGAAUAGCAAGGUUUGACCGGAAUAAAAUAUUCCGGUCAAAUUUCAUCCCGUUUAGCAGAAUAGCGGGAAAAACUUUUGUUAUCCCCGCUUAUCCCCCAACCAAACGGGGCUGAGAGAAUAUUUUUACAUUUAUAUUGUCCAAAUUUGGUGAUUAUCUUUUUGUCCUUGUAUUACGUGUUAUGUGUCUUCUUGCUCUUGGAUCAUGUGUGGUAUGUGUCACCUUUUUAUCCACUUUUUGUCACAAGUGUAUAUUUCGCGCCACAUGGAACAAAGUGUCCUUCAAGGAUAGAAAAUUUUGGCCCACAAAAAUAUUGAAUAUAUAAUUCUUUAUUAGUAAAAAUAUAUGGAAUUUUUUUUUGAUCUAUAUAUAUACCAUUUCAUCUGAUCAAUUAAUUUAUUUGGUUUAAAUUAUUUGAUAAUUUUUUGAAUAUAAAAUUUAAAAUAUUUGUUUAUAUUAAUAAAUUUAUAAUUAUAUGAAUUAAAUAAAUUUUACUAAAUUAAUAUGAGUUAAAUAAUAUAUUAAAAUCUUAAAGUUAAAGUAUUAUUGGCUGUCUCAAAUUAAAUAAAUUAAAAAAUUAGAUAAUAGAAUUAAUAAUUUUAAAAGUUGGACAUUAGAUCAAAAUGCAUUACGAUCCAGAUAAAGUUUUAUAUACUUUUAUAAUUUUUAUUUUUAUAAGUGGUUGUAAUCUCUUUACCUCGAGAUUAGGUUUUUUUUAAGAAACUUUGCCCCAAAAGCGCAUUUAGCUUAGAGAGGACAUAAUGCUAAAAAAAAAAAAAAAAGUGGCGAGCUCAACAACAAGGCGACGUUGCCUCGUUGGAGAGCUCCAAUCCGUCAUCACGUAUUAUUUUUAUCUUUAUUUAAGGAUUUAUAAUCCUUCCUAUUAGAGUUUCAAUUUUUUUUUUAUUUUAUUAUUAAAAAACAUCUUUAACAAAUUGGUGGAUGGAAACAAAAUUAACUCAUAGCAGCAGAUCGAGAGCUCCGUAAUGAAAUGUCAUUGGGGAGCUCCACCACUGCGCAGUUUUAUCUGCAAAAUGUUGAGUUCCAGAACUUGCAAAUACAAUGAACAAAAUCCAAAAAUUCUACAGGGAGGUUUAUCAUUGCAAGAUGACUCGACGAGGAUCACUAUCAUUCCUGCUGCUUUAAGAUUCAGUCCACGCGACCCAUCUCCAUCCCACCCAUCCUCUUUCCUGUAAGAUCUCUUCACCUCUUUCUCACUGAAAAACAAACUAUUCUCUCUCAAAAAUCCUAUCCCUAAUCCUAACAACGCUGCGAAGGUAACGAGCUGGUGGUGCGGCGGCGAGAAAUAAUUUUACAUAUUUUUUAUAAUUUUAUUUCGUACAUAAAAAUUUUUAAAAUGAAUUUGAUAUUUUUUUUUGGCAACGCUCUAAUUUGAGAAUAGUAUUAAAUUUUUCAUAAAUUUUUAGAUAAAUUUAUAAAAUUAUAUUUAAGAGUGAAAUUAGUGUUGUGUUACCCUAUUAUUUUUUAGUUUAUAUGAAGCAAAUAAUGGAAUGAAAAUAAUUCAUUCCAAUUUCCAAUCCACGAAUGAACCAAACGUCUAUAGGGAGCAGACCAAUCCAAUUACCUUUCCAAUUUAUUCACAUUUUAUUAUCUAUUCCAAUUCCAACCUUGAACGAAACUAAUUAUAUUUAAGAGUGAAAUUUUUAAAAUUAUUGAUUAAUUUUUUAGGUGAAGCUUUUGGUUUUUUGUGUAUUUUUGAUCAUAAGCGAUGUACUUUCUUUUGCAAUGCUGGAGCUCUCCAAUGCAAAAGAAAUAAUACGAUUGUUUUAUAUUAUUUAACAUAGUAUUAGAAUACAUAGUUUUGAGUUUGAGUCACGCCAGAUUUAUUAAUUUUUUAUAAUUUUAAUUCAAAUCCAUAUUGUGAGCAUGGUAAAAAGUUUGAGUCGAGACGUGAGCGAGAGUGUUAAAUAUAAAAAAUAUUUUAUUUAACAAUUUUCACACAAAUUAAAUCAAGAUUACUUCCCAUUUCCAUCACCAUCAUGCCAUCUAUGAUGCAUUCAUGCCCUGGAGUCUAUACAUAUUUGUGUCAGUGUGUCACUGGACCAGUUCACCUCAUAUAAUUUUAUGGGAAAACUUCAAAUACCCUCUAUGAUUUCGCACUUUUUCAUUCUAGUACCCUAUGGUUUAAAGUGUAUCAACUUAGUACCAUAUGAUUUCGCACUUUUUCACUUUAAUAUCCUGUGGUUUUAUUUUUGGAUCAAGUUAGUACUCUGUGAUUUCAUUUUUGGAUCAAGUUAGUACCAUGUGGUUUCAAUUUUCUCUUUUUAUUAUUUAUUUCUGGGUAUAUAAUUUAACGAAAUAUUAAACCACAUAGUACUAAAGUGAGAAAGUACGAAACUACAGGGUACUAACUUGAUACACUUUAAACCACAGGGUACUAAAGUAAGAAAGUGCGAAACGACAUGGUACUAACUUGAUACAUUUUAAAUCACAGAAUACUAAGUGAGAAAGUGUGAAACCACAAGGGUAUUUGAAGUUUUCCCUAAUUUUAAUCCACAAAAAUGUAGCAUAAAAAUAACAGAUUAUAAACUCAUAACAGAAGAAAAGUACCAGUAAACAGUUUGAUUGAGAUUUUCUGAGUCUCUUAUUACUAUCUAAAACUGCCAAAUAUUUGUCUAGGGUUCUUUAUUAUUUACUUGCUGUUUUUUGCUUGGAUCCAAAGCAUCAGAAAUUAUCACCUCUGUAAUCAAUCUUAUUACACUCACUCCAUAAAUUAUCAUAAGAUAUAUUUCAUUUCCCUGUGGAUUUACUAGUCCUUUUUUUUUUUUUUUUCGUUUAAUGGUAACCCAAAAAAGUUUGAUAAAAUUAAAACCAUGGUAACAUUUGGAGAGGUUUAAAUUGAGGAAGAGCUUUUUUUUUUGUUGAAGAGUAAAACACACAACAUUGUGUACACAUGAUUCGUCAAAACCCUAUUUUUGUCUCUCUCUCUCUCUCUCUCUCUCUCUCUCUCUCUCUCUUGUAUCCUCUUCUUCCUCAUCUACUACAUUGCUCCGCAAUGAGGGGAGCAAGAUAUGAUUUUGAUGCGAGGAAAGGGCUAAAUGCUUCAUUUGAGCAUCUGGGUAGGUGAUGGAUUUGAGAGAAAUUGUGGAAAUUUGGUGUUUUUUUUUUCAAAGUUUAUUAUAUAGUUUCAGUUGGUGUGGGAUGGUCUAAACCCUAGAAGCAGAAGCCAUGGCUCCGAGCUUGGGCUUCUCCCAGUGGAGGUGGGGGAAGGAGAAGAGAGGAGGGAGGGGAGCCCCUGUGGUGGUGGCCAUGGAAAACCCUAAUUUUUCCGUGAUCCAAAUCGACGGCCCUGAUUCUCCGGCGCGCCGCGGCAAGGGCCAUGGGAGGAGGAGCCCCAAGCAGCUCACUUGGGCUCUAAUCCUCUCGGCCCGCCGCAGCGUUUGCUGCAUUGUUUCCGCCGUGUCGGCACUCUCCGGAGCUCUCAAAAUGCGGCUAAGCCAUGGGCACCGUGUCGUCCCCGGGGACGACAAGCCCGAGAAGCCGCGGCGGCUUCUCAAGCUCAUCAGUGGCUUCCUUGUGCUCUGCCUCGCCGCCGCGCUCCUCAUCAAGCUCUCGGCCUACUGGAAAGGCUGGCGCUUUCAUCAGCCCGAGUUGCAGAUCGAGGGGUGGACGCACUCGGCCUAUCUCUCAUGGCUCUCGUACCGCGCCGCCUACAUUGCGUGCCCGGUUCAGGUCCUCUCUAAAUUCUGCAUUGUUCUCUUCGUCGUACAGUCGGUGGAUCGGAUCAUAUUGUGCUUAGGGUGCUUCUGGAUUAAGCUUAAGAGGAUCAAACCAAGGAUAGAGGAGGGUGCAAUCAAAGGGGAUUGUGAAUUCCCCAUGGUUCUUGUUCAAAUUCCCAUGUGUAAUGAGAGGGAGGUAAUCAAUCACUAAUGACUCUAUCACUCUGCAUAGUUUGAUUUUUUUUUUUUUUCGUUUUGAAGUAAAAAUUUGUAAUUUAAUUCGUGCGGUAGGUUUAUGAGCAGUCGAUUUCGGCUGCGUGCCAGCUCGAUUGGCCUAAAGAGAGGCUACUAAUACAAGUACUUGAUGACUCGGACGAUGACACGGUUCGACUUGUGAUUGAAGCUGAGGUUGUUAAAUGGAGCCUCUGGGGUGUCAACAUUGUUUAUCGGCAUCGGUUGGUCCGCACUGGUUAUAAAGCUGGGAAUCUCAAGUCCGCAAUGAGUUGCGACUACGUGAAAAAUUAUGAGUUCGUUGCUAUUUUUGAUGCCGAUUUCCAACCAAACCCUGAUUUCCUUAAGCUCACUGUCCCACAUUUUAAGGUAGUGAUAUCCAUAAUGACAAAUUCUCCUCCUUUUUUUUUUUUUUUUUUUUUUAAAUCUCUUGAGUUGUAUGAAUAUGUUUAGAAUUAUUCACUCGCCUAUAGAUGAUUUCAAGAAAAUAACAUGGAACUGUGAAUAACUCUAAACGCUGAAAGGAGAUAGCAUAAUUACGUAGGAAUUUACGUUUACGUAAUUUUGGUAAUGAAACAACUUCCAAAUUCACUGAGCUUUCGCUGAAUUUGGUAAGAACAUGUAGUAUUAAAGAAACAAGUGAUCUAUUCUAGUGUCUUGAGUACAUUUGUCGAUCUUGUUUUAUAAUUUAGGGAAAUCCAGAAAUUGGGUUAGUUCAAGGGAGGUGGAGUUUCGUGAACAAGGACGAGAACCUCUUAACUCGGCUCCAAAAUAUUAAUUUGUGCUUUCAUUUUGAAGUGGAGCAGCAGGUAAAUGGGGUGUUUCUGAACUUUUUGGCUUCAAUGGGACUGCCGGUGUUUGGAGAAUUAAAGCAUUAGAGGAUUCUGGUGGUUGGCUCGAAAGAACGACUGUUGAGGAUAUGGAUAUCGCUGUUCGUGCUCACCUCCACGGAUGGAAAUUCGUCUUCUUAAAUGAUGUUAAGGUAAUUAAUGUAUCGAAGAAGCAAUUCUCACGUUAACUUCUGUAUUGAAUAGCUGCUAACUUUGUAUUAGGUUCUUUUCUAGGUUUUAUGUGAAGUUCCGGAAUCUUACGAGGCUAACAGCAGCACAGAUGGCACUCCGGUCCAAUGCACCUUUUUCGUCUAUGCCUUCCAUAGAUCAUAACUUCGAAGGUUUGUAAUCCUCCUAAUUGUCUGUGCGGCCGCAUUGGAGCUUCUGCAAACUUGUUAUUCUAGUAGAGCUUUCAAAAGAAGCACUACUAUCUUUGCUAUUCGGAUCCUUCUCAAAAUGCUUUCCAUUGAAGCUUCAAGUUCGGAGCUUCUGUUUUUGAGGUUCAGAAGCUCAUUUUAGUUUCAUGCCACGGCAGACGCUAUAGAGAUUUUGUUUACCAAAUACCGAGGUUCUGCUUUUCUGAGUAAAGAAGCUAUUCUAGAAGCUUUGUCAAGCAAAGCACCACUUAGUUUUCAUUGUAGCUUUGAUGCAUCAAAAUUCAAGUUUCUAAAAUAGCCUUUUAUGCUUUAUUGCAGAUAUCUAUCUGGAACAAAGACAACUUAAUUCUAUUAUUCUUUCUGUUAAGGAAACUAAUCCUUCCAUUCUAUUCUUUCCCAUUGUUUUGUGUAAUUCCCCCUUUGACUAUGUUCGUCCCCGAAGCCGAGCUACCUGUUUUGGUGAUAUGCUACUUGCCUGUAUUUAUGUCCUUUCUCAACAUCCUUCCCGCUCCACGAUCUUUCCCUUUCAUCGUUCCCUACCUCCUCCUCGAAAACACAAUGUCCGUGACCAAAUUCAAUGCAAUGGUUUCCGGAUUGUUCCAACUGGGGAGCUCAUAUGAGUGGGUUGUCAUUAAAAAGGCGGGAAGGUCGUCAGAAUCGGAUUUAUUAGCAGCAGUAGAGAAAGAUUCAAAAAGCCUUGGCAUCGUAGAGAUUCAGAAACAAGUAUCGGAAAGUGAAUUUAGUGAGCUGAUCAAGUUUAAGGAGCAAGUAGUGAAAGCUUCUUCUCCUGUCAAAAAGGUUAAUAAAAUCUACAAAAAGGAGCUUUGCCUUGCUCUUCUCCUGCUCACCGCAGCGGUUCGAAGUCUUUUGUCCGUGCAGGGGAUUCAUUUUUAUUUUCUUCUCUUUUAAGGAGUAUCAUUCCUCCUCGUCGGAGUCGAUCUAAUAGGAGAACAGAUGAGUUGAUGCUGGAAAAAAGACAAAAAUGAACAUACCAAUUUCACUCAAGUCAUCGACUAUGUGAUUCGGUAAUGAAAACAACAACAGGAUUUAUAUAUAUUAAUUGGGUGAAUCAUGUUACGAGAUUUUCCUGGCAAAACUGGGGAUCAUUCCACGUCUUCGAAGAACUCUUCCACUUGAGUGCGGCUGUAAGUGACAAUUAAUAAAUAACACCAAAUAGAAGAGUUGGGUUCCAAUUUUAUCGAGUAUUAUCGAUAGAAUUUGUAAUUUUGUUCGCUUGUGUUCAACAAUAAACAGCUACAUAUCUGUAUUUAUUCAGUAUAUUGUUGAGUUAAAAGAGAGUUUUUGUACAAUUCUCACCUAAAAUUGGUAGCCUCAUUUUGGUUGUCUUUUUUCCUCUGCUUUCCUUUUCCUAAUUCGUUUCUUUUGGCUGACGAUGAUUGCUUGGGAGUUUUUGGUUUUAGCUCAAGAAACCGUGGGUGGAGACGAACCAAGGAUAAGGGAGUAUCUAAAACAGAACAAUGGCUUUGAUUAUGAUUGAACAAAAGAGGGUGGAGAGGGUCCCAAGCUAUCAAUUGACAAUCCCAUGGAUUACCCAAUGUAAGCAUCUCUUUCGCCAAGUAAUAAAAUAAGAGAAAACUGGCAUCCUGUUGCUCUUAGUUUCAUUCAAGAGGUUUGAGUUUUUGGAAGCAAGAAGUUGAAAUGAUUGCCUGCAGCCCGAAUGCUGAAAGCACUUAUAUCCAUACAUUUCAUGUACCGUAUUGAACAUUUGAUGAAUUAUACUUCGAAAUUGAAAUCUCAUUCCUUCGAUAUGAUCUACAACAUCUAAAGAAGCUAUGUUUGGUGAGUCAUAUGUUCUGAUAAUUUACUAUCUAGAUGUUGCAGAUCAUAAAGGAGCUCUACAGGUAAUCAUUUAGAGGUUGCCGGUUAUAUCGAACGAAUGAGAUUUCAAUUUUAAAAUAUAAUUCAUCAAAUGUUCGAUACGGUUCAUGAAAUGAUUGCUUGCAGUCUGAAUGCUGAAAGCACUUAAUAAGGAGAUAUUAUUGCGCGAAACCAAUGAAUACAUACAUUUCAUGCACUGCACUGAACAUUUGAUGAAUUAUAUUUUGAAAUUAAAAUCUCAUUCCUUCGAUAAUCUGCGACAUCUAAAGGAGCUCAGUAUGAAAAGUCGCAUGUGCUGUUAACCUAUUAUUAGAGCAUGUGCUGAAUUUAGUUUCAAAAUUCAGUAGUAUAAAAGUGACAUUAUCCGAUUCAUAAGAAAUAGGUGUCCACAAUUUAUAAUUCUUGAUUCAUUAACCUUUUGAAUAAUAGAGAGCAGGGCCUCAUAUGGUAGGGUUUUAGUGGUGUGGUGUACUGUGCGCCAGUAAUUUUUAUGUAAGAGGUGGAUGCUGUCCAUGUGCUUAAGAAAAGAAUUACUCAAAUCUGCAUUCUGCAAUGUGUUUGAGUUAAUUAUCUUCUAACCUUACAAGAUCUGGUGAGCUACCAGUUAUCAGUUACAAUUUUAAAGUAUGUAUAAACAGGAAUUAAAGCAUUCGCGGCAACAAAGAUGGGCCAAAUAUAAUCAUAAAUGCAAUAUGUCCCCUGAUUGUUGUAUGUUUCAGACAAAACAGUUGUGAUGUGGGUUCCAUGCUCAUCAAGUGGAGAGUUUUGUUACAACCAUGUGCACUGUUUUCAGCUUGAAAUGAGUGAAACAUGAGUGUUUCCUUUUGUCGCUGUCGCGAAGUUUAAGCUUCCCACCAGUAAUUUCGCGACAAAAGUAGUUGUGUCAGUUUGGUCCUAUUGCUGAGAAAUAUCAAGUGUUCUGUACUUCCCUCUCAUCAGAUCAUGUUGUUUUCUCAGAAUCAGUGAGGGCCGGAAAAUAACCGACAUCUUUGACAUCCAUGUGCCUCAUAUUUACUCAAUACUUUUUCGGAGGUGCACGAAAUCUUAGAAGUGUGGCUUCUGAUCAUUACUUCAUCAGAAUAUAGUAAAUUACUUAGUCAAUAGAACAUAGUAUAUUUAGAGUUUGAAAAGUAAGACCAAACAUAGGUAAAAACCAAACUCUUAGGUUGUAUUCGAAAAUAAAAAUCUAUGAUCAAAUGAUGAUAGUGUUGAUGUUUGUAAUAUUCAAAGUGAAUAAUUACCAAUAAAUACAUCUAAAUUGUACAGCAUGAAGCAGAACGUAUCUGUCGACGAAAGAAACAGAUACAAUGCCCAUCAGAGACACUUCUUCCACUCUGCUUCGGCUAAUAACAUGCACACUACUGUAUCAGAUUACACUGAAAACUAUCUAUCGGAGCGAAGGCUCGUAGAUUUUACAAACCUUCAAAUCAUGGCACUUUGACGAAUCCUCGCGAUGCAACCCUUCACACUGCGAGCGAAUUCAAACCAAUUGAAUUCAACCAUGUUACUUUUUUCAUCAAUCAUAGGGCUCUGCCGAGAAGUCCGGCUCAUCCGGCUUCUGCAACUUGGGCAAAUCCAUGUCCUUGACCUUCUGUGAUCCUUUCCUCGUGCUCGCAGCAAACCUUGAAGCCAAGAUCGACACCGCGAGAUUCUGCUUCGGGUGAGAAGCACUUGUAGAGGGAGAACUGCUCUCCUCUUCGUCUUGUCCCGAGUCGUCUGACUUAAACGACAGCGACUCCCUCAAGCUCAGGCCCUUCGCCAUCUUCCUCCUCUUGAACCGCCGCCAGGCCGCCUGGAUAAAGCAAGCCGCCCAUGUCCUCCAAUGUGGGGAGUAGAACCGGAAGGCGUGCUGCAGCUUCUUGCUAUGGAGCCUUCUGAAUUGUGUGGCGACAAAUUUAAGGUCUUCGGCUCGUAGUGCGAAGGCCUCGACUUCGACUAGUGCUUUUACCGUACGGGUCGAAGAGGGCAAGUUGGUGGUCGACUUGGGGAGGAGGGCCCACCCAAGGAGCUCCUCACCGCAGAAAUCGCCGGGCUUCAGGGCUAUGGAGUUGAAGAAGCCGGUGCGGCCACCAUUGGUGGUGGAGCUCUCGAGCUUGCCGCGGAUGAUGAAGAGCAUCUCGGUGACAGGGUCGCCCUCGCGGACGAUGUAAGUGCCCUCCGUGCUUAAAGAGGAUACGAGGCGUUCACAUAUGGCAUCAAGUAGUUGGCCGUCCAUUUGCGAGAAAAAAGGGACCUACCAUUUUCAAAGAAAAAUGCGGGGUCAGGAACUAUUUGCAAGCAAUAGAUAGAACACUAACAAACAAGAUGUAGUUGCAAAUAGCACAAAAAGGUCAUGUUGGAGUAUCUUGUUUAAAUCUGCUACCAUGCUUCAAAUUUCAUAGCAAAUCAGAAGAUAUUGAUUCUAAUAAUCCUCUCAUGGACAUGUGCGACAAGCAAGUGGAAUCAGGUAAAGCUAAGAGAUAAAUCAAUUGCUUCUUCGCAAAGAGAAGAACAAGCAAUAGGGGCAAUACUGCGUACCCGUCGAACGAGGUCCAAGCAAAGGUGGCGUUGGAUGUCUCGCCGAAGGUCGGCAGGUAAGGACUUCAAUAUCGAUUCUUCGUCCACCCCUCGGGUUGCGAGCCACUUGUAUUGGACAAACCGCCUCACCCGCUCUCGCAGUUCGUGAGGGAGCUGGCGAUGCCUCAUCCACUCCUCGGUGUCCCUUUGCUUGAGCCUCCAUUCCUCGACCCUCACAGUGAUAGAUUGCAGGUAGGUCUGAAAUAUGAUUUCGGUACUGGUCAGCUCGAGAUACACGAACGACGAACACAUAACCAAGAAAUGGUAAAACUAACAUUAAUCAGGUCCACUCCAAGUCUGAUAACUAUGCUACAUUUAUUUAACAGAUCAAUUAGUAACAAUUAACUAGAACUUGGAAGAUCAAGCAAGCACCUUCAUAAUUACAAAACUAACAAGAAUUUUACCUGGACGUUUCCGAUCAAAUGUGCAAAUAAAACAAGGCCAACGACAGCUAAGCAAAUGGCAUACAAUGUCUCCCCGAUAAAAGUGCUGACGAUCAGAGUCUGGCCGUAGCAGCUGAAAACAUGAAGAACAAGGUAUACAGCAUAAGAAAAUAUGUAAUUUUGAAUAAUAGCAUAGAAGAAAAAAUAUUUUCCAACAGAGAAAAAGAAGAGCAAAUUUAAGGAAUAUAAUCAUACCUCAGAUUUUGCAAACCCCACCAGAAUGAAUAGAAGUACUUCUUAACGAACUCCUCAGCAGGAGCCUGAUUGCUCAAUGCAGGUUGGAACAUGCCGAAGAGGAAAGCGAUACUAGUGUUAGUAGCAUCGCAGUUUGCAAAGACACCAGUGCUAUUUGCCCAAGUUUGUUCAUCCGGGCUUGAGAAGUCGCAAUCAAAGUACCUAACAUUGCAUAACGGUGUAUUCCCUGUGCCGUCCUCUUGCUUGCAAUAGGAUUGCCAACAUGUAUGUUGGCGAUCAACCGACAGCAAGUACCAGAUCGCUCCUAAAACCUGCAACAUCUGGUCCUUAGCGCAACAAAAGGCUACAAUAUGAUUUGUAAAUCAAAGAUUAUCAUAUUUCAAAUUGUGGCUUUUGCAUAUACACGUCCUUUCAAAAUUAUCUAUUUACAGAUAUACUAUCGCUGUAAAAUCUGAAUUUACAGAUUUACAGAAGUAGCCUUCUCUACUGGGGAGUGAGGGAUGAAAGUUAACUACGGACGAGCAUAUAUGAAAUUCGUAUAGAGUGGAAUCCAAGGAUACCGCAUGACAUCUUAUUUCAAGAAAUAAGCGGAGAAAACGUACAUGGCUGGCAAUCAUGUAAAGAAAUAGAUUGUACGCAGCUCCGGCCCAAGCAGUCUUCGCAACGACACCCGUGACUUUAAUAAUUUCAUAACUCAAAGGAAAUGUUAAAUAUAGCCUCGGAAGAUAUUGAAUUAAGAUGAUGAGAGCAAGAGUGUUAUUGCUAUGUUGGGGAGUUGAGUUCUUGAUUGCUGGUAUUACUAACCACAUAACAAUCUGCAAAAAAAUAUUAAGAAUGAAAAUGUUAGCUAACAGCCAACUCUCAAAGGCGAAUAGAAGAAAAAUGAAAGAAUAAUUGAUACCCUAACUAUCUAAAUUCCCCUCCCGGGUAAUUUGAUACAUGCUUUAAAUUAGCAUAUGCAAUAAAUCAAGAUCAAAACACACACACACACACACACACACACACACAAACUAAAGAAAUAGUUACCUGUGGUAGAGGCAAUGCUGCAGCUAGGUCAAUAAUAAAAUCCGACCUUAAAUACCUCCUCGCGAUUCUUUUAGGAUCCGUGACGAGCUCUCCCCGUCCGAAACCCCUCGUAUUCGGGGCCACAUACGCAGUUCGAAACUUUAUAACAAUAUGGAUAGCAUAUAAUAGAUCUGCAAGCGAUCGAAAGAUGGUGACCACGAUAGCAAGACGCCAGUCGGUCUUGACACACGAAGUGGUCUCACCAUAAUCAAUCGCGGGCAAGUAGAAGUACAUAGGAUCGAUGAACAAAGCGACCAAGCACGAGAUGAGAAAGAAGCGGUUCCAGUUCAAUACGAAAUCACUUCCUGGGUCAAAUAUUCUCUUCCGCCACGGCUCGCGUUCUUCGGAGAUCACUUUCGGCUUCACAGGAUUUACACCAUUAAGUUUAGUAGCGGCGUAUACGCUGGGUUUUGGGGCCUGGUAUGUGGGUAUAGCUUGGUUUUGUCUCCCAUCUGAGUAGAACCUAGAGAGAAAAGCAGUACUGAGAACUUAUGAAUAGUACACAAUAAUAACAUGAUCAAUUCAAACCCUAAAAAACCAGGUUCACAACUGAAAACAAAAGAACCCACGAUGAUUUUAUUCCAUUUUUAGCAUGAUUACAAAAACAAACAAUUGAGACACAAAAACCAUAGCUAAUGUCCUAAAAUUAGCAUCAUUGAACAUAACCAAACUUGAGUCUUGAAUCAGAAAACUAGGGUUUAUACGCCAUUCCGAUUGCAGAACCAACUAAAUACAAGUUCUAACCUACAAAUCACAUCAAAUUUAAAUCAUUUCAAAUGGCUAUUCAUCAAAAUCGGGUCUUUUGGAGGAUUCACAACUAAAAGCAAAAUAACCCAAGAUUAGAUGGACAUUCCGAUUCAGACUCAAAAACCCUAGCUAAUGUCCUAAAAUUAGCAUCUUUACACAUAACCAAAAUUGAAUCCAAAACAUGUUUUCUGCUAAAACCUUGAACCGGAAAAACUAGGGUUUCUGCGCGAUUCCGAGCCAAAAAUCACACAAAAUCAAAUCAUUUCAAAUGGGUCUCAUCGAAAUCGGAUCUUGUGAGAGAAAACAUAAACUCACCUCACGGUCCUCUGCCUCUCGAGCUGCAUCUCAUCAUCCACUCUCCGCGAUCCAAACAUGGCGAUCGACUCAAUCGACUCCGCAAGCGACCCACAUCAAUCCCUGCCCAAAUUCCCCUUCCGAGGGCUCCAAUAACCACUCCGAUCACAACCAGUAGAGCAACAACACCUCAUCUCGGCGCCGUAUUUGGCUCCAAAACGUAGAACACGAUGAGAGGAGGAGGAGGAGGAGGAGGAGACCUCGCAAGGCUCCGAAUUGGGGGAGAGAUGGGGACGAAGCAAGUUGAAUAACUCCAAAAAAACCCUUUUUUAAUUAAUAAUUUAUAUAUAUUACCCCAAAUUCACCUUUUUUUUCUUUUUUUUUUUGAGGUGAAGUAAUAAUAAACUCCAUUACAUGUGAGCUCAUUCGAACAGAAACGGUAAAGAGAGGAGGAAAUGGACUUCACGGAGAACACCGUCGAAAAAUUAAUUAGAAAAUAGGGGGUAAAUUUGCGCGCAGCUCCCCUCAACUAUAAUAUUUUGAGACAGACCACUGGAGUUUUCGCCUUUUUUAUUUUUAGCUGUGAGUCUUUUUUGGAUAAAAAUAUACAAAACUUGUAAAUUUAGUUAGCAUGUACUUCACGUAAUUCUCACAACUAUAAAUUUAUUAAAGUACGUAACUAGCUUAAAUUUUAAAGUCAAAAUAUAGUUGACUGACUCAAACGAAUAAAUUAAAAUAUUGAAUAGCAAAAUCAAAAGUUUGAAAGACUUAAUGGAUAAUUGAUUCAAAAUAGUUCAUAAUUUAUACAAGUUUUGUAUAUAUUUAUUUUUAUUUUUUUUUGUGAAGUAAUAGCUCCUGGUUUAAUGGGGAAAAAUUAUCGGUUAAAAAAAAUACAAAGGGUUCAUGUUAGAUUCGCCUAUAGGCGAGGGAGGUUUUUGACAUUUUUAACAAAUGGGAUUAUAUUGAUUUUUUUUUUUUUUUUUUUUUUUNAGAAUUACAAUUUCGUAGUUUUUUUUUUUUUUUUACUAGUGACAAAACAUUUCAUAAAACUCCAUCACUAUUUACUAAUUAGAUUUAACCAAAUUUAAUAAAUUUAGUUUGCGUAUUAUUUGAUUACAUGCAGUCAUUAAUAUUCCGUAGUUGAAAUGUAAUAGUCGGCAAAAAAAAUAACAUUUCUUCAAACCUACGAAGCAGAAGAUAUAUAGUUACAGCAAAUGUAUCUGUAUAAUACCAAAUAAAAUAAAUUAAUUAAAACUAUUGUAUUUUUAACUGCGUGCAUCUGUUGUAGUUGUAUUGCACUUACGAGUUAAAUUUGAUUAGAUUUAAUUAACUCAAUAAAUCUAUCUAUGUUUUUAUGAAAAUUAUUAUGUUUUCUAAAAAAUAACAUCAAAAUAAAUAAAGUUUCUCAAAAAAAAGAAAAAAGAAAAAAAGAGCAUUUGUGGGUUUAAAAAUGGUGGCGGUGUUUACAAAGAUCAAAGGGGGAGUGGGUCCCACACAAAAGGAUAUAAAAAAGAGCAUAUGUCGUGGCGAACGCUGCUGACGUGGCGCUGAGCGUUGACUCGGAGAAGCGAAAUGCUAAAAAAAAAAGAAAGAGAAAGGAAAAAUGUAUAGGGACUCCCUCAACUAUAACCGUUUCUAAACGGGUCCCUUUUCUUUUGGAUUAAUAACCCCUAAGCUUUUAUUUUUUAGGAUCAAGCAAUUUUAAUAAAAAAAUUUUUAAAGAAUUUUAUCAAGUUCAAUAGUUUUAAUCACUUUAUAGCAAAUAAAAGUGUUGAAUUAUCAAAUGUUACAAAAUUUUUAAUGUAACUUAAAAUAAAAUUUUUAAUUCAAAAAAUAAAUACUUAAAAAAAGUGUAUAUAAAAAGUAACUUUAAUUUAGUUUGCUGUGGUUUUAGCGCAUUUCACUUUACCACUUUAUGGUUCAAAUAUAUUAUACUUAAUUAUUCUAUAGUUUUAUUUUUAUUUUUAAAUUUUAUCGAAAAGAUUUAUUAUAUAAUUUAACGAAAUAUUAACGAAAAAAUUAGUGAAAAGAUAAAAAUGAAACCACAGAACACUAACUUUAUACAUUUUAGAUUACAGGGUACUAAAGUGAGAAAGUGCGAAACUACAGGGAUGGUAUCUGAAGUUUGCUCUAAGUUAUUUUCAUCUUUAUUAUUAAAGUUGAAGGGUUCAUUUCAGAAUACCCUAUAAUUGAGGAAUCUCAAUGUAACUUUUACCCCCCACCUCCCAAAAAAAAAAAAAAAAGUUACAGGGUGUCCAGCUGGAUUGGAGGAUACAGUGGUGAGACAGCUUGUGGUAGCGUGGGGACAAAAUCUUUCACGGAUCACGAGGUGUCUCACAAAUCCCCAGAUGGUUAGUUUACUUCAGUGAAGUGGAACCUCCCACUGUGUGGUUGUCCUCUGGUGCUCAUGUUGAUUCCCCGUGAUUUGACACCUCACCGUCGCAUUUACAACACAGGACGCAGAAUUUUUUUUAAUAUAUUAUGAAAUAAUUUUAUCGCGUAUUUGUAGAGAAUUCAAACUUUCGAUGAUUGAUUUGAUUUGUCAAAAGUAAAAUUAAAUGAAUACUACAAGAUCAAGUAUUUGGUGUAGCAGAUCAGAUCCAUUUUCUUUUGUUACAGAUAGUGAUCUAAUUUAGUAAAUUUAUUUAGGAAUACUAACAUCAGUUGUUAGUAAUAUUAUUAAUCGUUACGAAUGUUGAUAAUAUUGCAAAGUUGCCAUGACCGUUAACAGAAGGAUAUACCAGUUGAUUUGGUCAUUGUGUACUGACUGAAUAUGACCAAAUUCAUUAUAUUCGACCCGUGCAUAACCAAUUCUUGAUUUGCUAAUUGUUGCAUGAUGAAAGUGUUGGUAUUGUUUCAUUUUGAUGAGUAGUAAGCUUACUUGAAAGAGGUUGCAACAGAUUUUUUAGAUUAUUAGAUGAAAAAGAACAUCUUUGAACGAAUUUACUGCACAUAAGCAUCAUCAUUAUAACACUCUAACAAAGUCCCUUGGAUGAUGCUCCAUAACAUUUUCUUCAUUUGUAUUAAUGUGUAAGGUUACAUGUGGUUUUUUAGACUACAUGUGUAAGCCAAUAAUACAUAAUUCGGCUUAGAAAAGGAAGAUGAUUCAACGAAGUGCUAGUAUGAUAUAGUACGAGAAAAUAGACCCCUUGUCUAAGCUAAUUAUGUUUUACUACUUUUGCAAAUGGAUCCGGGUUGGUGGAGCUCCCACCUAGAUCCGCCCCGAACGAGAAUAUAAGUGGGAAUAAAAAAUAUAGAAAAAUAUAAUUCGUCCUGAAUCAAUUUCCAUCCACAAGUAAAUGGAGUGGAAGGUAGGAGACCUUUCUUUUCUUUGCUUCGCUCAAAAUUUGCUCAAAAUUUACCAAAAUUUGCUUUUAUUCGCGAUCCACUCUGAAUGGAGCAGUAAGUGGGGGCCAAAAAUGAAAUUAAAAUUAACCCGCCCCGAUCCGUUCCGACUCGAUAAAAAAAAAAAGAAUGGAAGGCGGAGAACUCCGGAUUCACCUCAUUUGCAUCCUUAGUUUUUACUCAUAGGUUCUAAGUUACCAUAUAUCACAAUCCAACUAAUUACAGAAAAGAAAAGAUCCCUAUAUAACUAUGUUUCCUACCAUAUAGUAUUGAUAUUUUAGCAUAGUACUUGAUAUAGGCUCUCCUAUUUGGUGUGAGAAUUUUCCGUCAUCAUUGGAUAGUAAGAGUGUCUUCAGAUAUUUGGCUUUUACGUUAUUUUUUAAAAUAUAAUAAAUCAGCUCAUAGAUAAAAUAUAUCAUCUUGCUAAAUUAUAGAUGUCGAGACCUUUCAAGGAACAAAUCAGACUUUAAAUUCAAGUCACACUAAAAAGAUCUUUAUAUUGAGUAAGUUAUCGUUGGAUAUUUUAGUCGAUCCGACAUUCAAACAAAUCGAUCAAAAAUACCAUAGAAGCUCACCAAUGUAUCAAUUAUGUAAGCGACCUUUUACGAGGAACACAAAAUUAGUUUGGGUAUAUAAAGAACCCAAAGCCAUCUCAUCCUUUCCUCGCUCAUGAUACAAAAUAAUAACAAGAUUUCAAAUAAAAUAAUUUAAUGAACUUUUAGUGCGAAUUUUAUCUGAGCCGCACAAACAUUUGUAGUUCAUUUUUCAUUUUCUUAGUCAAGUUCAGUUUCCACAAUCUCUUUCCUCCAUAGUCGAUCUCUUUUGUCUACUCUCCUCUAAUUCAAUUGUCAAUCAAGAUAUGUAGGAUGAUUUUUUUAAGGAAAAUGAGAUGAUUUUUGUGUUAUUCGUAUAUUUUAUAAUGAGUUAUAGAUUAAAAUUACGCAUUUUAUAUGUGAAAAAAUAUAGUUAGAAAAACAAGAUAGAAAAAUAAUUCUUUUUAUAUAUGUGCUUAUUAAUGUAUAUUAUUAUUAUUUGAAUACAUAUUCAAUUCAUAUUCAAAUUCGAAAAAAUAACCGAUUAUAUCCGAAUCUGUUUUUAGCAGGUAUGAUAAUAAAAAUUUAGGGUAAACUUCAGAUACCAUUCCUGUGUGUUUCGCACUUUUUCACUUUAGUACCCUAUAAUUUAAAGUAUAUCAAAUUAGUGUCCUGCCGUUUUAUUUUUAUCUUUUUGUCAGCUUCCUCCGUUAAUAUUUCGUUAAAUUAUAUACAAAAAACUUCAAACACUCCACCUAGGUUUUUCAAAUAUUUACUUUAAUACCCUUUAGUUUUAACUUUGUCAUUGAUUUAAUAAAAAAAAUUAGUAAAAUUUAUAAUAAAAAAAUAAAAAAUAAAAUCACAUGGCACUAAAUUGAUACACUUUAAACCACAUGGUAUUAAAGUGAAAAAGUGUGAAACCACAUUGACGGUAUUUGAAAUUUUUUCAAAAAUUUAAUAUCCGACACAUAUUUGUACCUGAAAAAAAAGAAUAUAGAUGCGAACGUGGUUUUGUCAAAUAUCCGAUCAUUUUCGAUCCGUUUUCACCCCUAACAAUAUCCCAUCUCUUUCUCACACGUGGAAUCAUCUAAUUUAUCUACAAUGAACCGGUCCCCGUUUAAGCCAGCGUUGACUUUGCCGAACCGGGGAGUAACCACAGAACGAGACUCCGCGGAGAAUCGUUGACUGGGCCACAAAAGUCAACACAAAACUAUUCCCUGCACCGGCGCGUACCGUACUCCACACGCGGCCCAGGUAAAAAUGUAUGCAGAUCCCCUCAAUUAUAGGGUAUUCGGAACUUCAGCCCUCAACUUUAAAUUUUUUUUUCCGAAAAAACUUCAAAUGCCACUUUUAUAAUUUGCACUUUCUCACUUUCGUACCAUGCGGUUUAAAGUGUAUCACUUUAUACCCUGUGAUUUUAUUUUUCUCUUUUUGUUAUUUUCUUCGUUAAUUUUUUCGUUAAAUCAAUGACAAAGUUAAAACUAAAUAGUACAAAAGUGAAUAUCGAUAAUACUAUGGAUGAGGUAUUUGAAGUUUUUUAUAUAUAAUUUAAUGAAAAGUUAACAGAAGGAGAUGACAAAAAAAAAAAAAAAAAAAUACAGGGUACUAAAUUGAUACACUUUAAAUCACAAGAUACUAAAGUGAAAAAGUACGAAACCACAUGGGUAAUAUUUAAAAUUUACCCAAAUUUUUGUAUUGACACUCCUUUAACUUUUUUUUAUAUAAAAAAUUGAUAGCUCUUUUAGCUAUUAACAAGUAAUUAAUCUAAUUUUAUCUACUAUGAUUGAGUUAAACUAAAUAAUUUGUUAUGCUAAAAUCACUUAAUUCCAAAAAACUAACCGCUCAUGGAAUCUCAAAAAAAUGAGGGGCUAUCUUAAAAUGGUAUAUAGGUGAGGGAGUUUUCAUUCAAUUUUACCUAUAUUUUAAUCAACGGAAAAGUAAAAUAGUACGCUAUUUCAAAAUUUAUUUCUUUUUAAAUAGGCCUUUUUGAAUAUCAUCAUAGAACACAUUUAGGAGGGCGGUGCAUGAGCUGUACUUGUACACCCGGUGCAGGGAAUAGCUUUGCAACUUAACUAACUCAUUAAAAUGAGUCAACGUCUCCCGCGUGAUGAGGUCGUUAUGACCUCUUUAUGAGCCUUGUGACAACCUCUUUCUGGGGUUUUGUGGGAGUGGGGCCCACCAACUCCGAUGUCAAACUCAUGGGUCGUGGGGCCCACCCGUUGGAGGGGGAAGGAACGUGUCAACAGCGUGGACGCUAUUAUCGGGAUGCAACAUCACCCGCCUGCACGACUAUUAAAGCGUGGCUCAGGCAAUUUGGACGGUGGGCAUUUGCCCUAGUUAGAGAUGUCAACGGGUCGGGGCGGAUUUUUAAAGAUCCGAACCCGAAUCCGACUCCAAACCCGAGACCCAAACCAGAAUCCGAACCCGACGGAUUUUAAAAAUCCAUAUCCAAAGCCGAACCCGGCCAAAAAUUCGAAACCCAAACCCGAAAAUUUGAACCAUGAAACAAUUAUUUCUUUUUUCAAUAUUUCAAAAUAUAUUAUAUUAAAUCUAAAUUUUUAAAAUACAAAUUCAAAUAUAACAUCAAAUUUAUAUAUAUAUAUAUAUUAUAUAUAAUACAAAAUAAAUUCGGGUUCGGAUUGGGUUCGGGUCGGGUCGGGUUCAAUCAAAAUUCAUAUCUGAAUCUAUAUCCGUCGGGUUUCUAUUUCUGAUAUCCAUAUCUAAAUCCAUCGGAUAUAUCUGUUUCAUUCGGAUUCGGAUUCGGCUAAAAUUUCGACUAUCCAUACCCAUUGACAUCCCUAGCCCUAGUCCUCCCCAAAGAAUGAAAAAUAAAUAAAAUUAUGCCAAACUUAUUUGAAUUGUGUAUUAUUUUAAAUUAAUUAUUAUUAUUUUAAAAUUUGUAAUUUACUAUUUAAUUUUUAAAUUUAUUUGAUUUGAGUUUGCUAAUGGUAUUUUGACUUUAGAAUUUAAGCUGAUUACUUACUUUAAUAGAUUUAUAGUUGCAAGAACUGUAUAAAAUAUACUAACUAAAUGAGUGGAGAUAAACAAUAUAUUCAAAAAUUUGAAAUCAAAAUGUCAUCGAUCGACCCAAGUCAAAUAAAUUAAAAGAUUAAAUAGUAAUAUCAAAAUUUUGAAAGGUUGGUAACUGAUUCAAAAUAAUUUAUAAUUAAUGUAAGUUCCGAAUACUUUAAUUAACCCAAAAGAAUGCAGAUAGAGUAAAAUAUGUAAAAUUAGAGAGAAAAAAAAAAAAACUGAUCUAGAAACAUUCACUAUUUAAGAGCCAUUUGACUUAUAAAUACAUUAUAAUUAGAGAUGCGAAAUUUAUAUUUGUAUUUAUUCCGUUUAGCGCUAUGUAAGAAAAGGAAGUGACUAUAAAUCUUUUAUUUACUUGCUUAUAAUUAGAAAGUACAUUUACAAGUUUUAUUAUUUCACAUAUGAUAUGGGGGGAAUUAUUUUUUAAAAAUAAAAAUUUGUUUUUUAUUUAAAAUGUGAAUGGAUAGAAAAACGUUUCUUUUGUAUAAAAUUACUUUUUUAAUUAUUGUAUUUUCAACUGCUGCAAGUAAUUGCAACUCUCUUUCUUUUUAAAUUUUUUGGAAUUUAUGUUAAAACCAAAGAAAAAUUUGCACAACUUUUUUAAAAAAAGGAUUUAAAGAGCACACAUGUUAUCGUUACAUAAGCUGUAACCUGUAUAAUAUUUGCUUAUUUUACUCGUCUCGUCAACACCCUUUAUUUAUUGCAUUGUAACUCUAUGUUGCUUACUUAUUAGAUGUAACCUGAGUUAAUGAUAUAAUAAUGUGUUUCCUAAUACAUUAUUUGGUUUAUAUAUUAAAUUUUAUAUUAGAUUUUGUACCAUGCGUGAAUCCUAUUAUAGUGAAUGAUGCUUAUUGAAUUGAUACAAAGAAAAAGAAUUGCGACAAGUAGAGCAAAAGAUUCUCUUUUGAACAUGUAGAUAUUAUAAUCAUAAAUUAUGAUAAAUUUUUGUUGAUAAGAUACCAAGUGGGAUUUAAUGGAGUUAGAGGUCGUUUAGUUUAAUAUACAAUUUUAUAAUUAUAUUUUUUUUGAAUUUAUAGUUUUUUUUUUCAAAUUUAAAAAAUAAAAUAAAAUAGAAAGCAAACAUGGAGUCAAACGAGUUGAAUAUAGUCUCAUGAAUCUCAUGUUUGAGGGUAUUAAUGGGCCGGGUUUGGAUCAACCUUAUCGGAGCCCAUGACUCGGUCCGAAACUGAAAAGUUAAGUGGAGCGUGGACCGGGCCUCGGCCCUAGAGCCAACAUUUUACCCAUCUCACCAAAAGAGGGGGGGGGUGGGGGGUUCAGGGACCAAAGUGAAAUAUCUGAAGAGAUAGAGGGGCGCUGGUGCAAUUAAGACUGUAAUUGUUGUCCUAAUACCUGGCCUUCGAUUUUGAUUUGGACGGCUGAGAUCACUUCCGAACGGCCUCUGAUUUCCCGGCAAAACCCCGCGAACAACUGUAACCGUCGCAUCCUCUUCCUACGUAUCGUGCGAAAACCGAAAUUUUACAAAUUAACCCCUCCAUUUCUUCGAAUUCCAAUCCGAAACCCCUUCUCUCUCUCUCUCUCGCUCCGGUUAUCGCCAUGGGAGGCUCUCAUAGUCGCGAGGGCCUCGAGCUCUCCGACGAGGAGGAGGAGGACGAAGAAGAAGAGGAGGAAGAAGACGAAGAAGAGCACGAGCAGCGCGAAGGAUCCCAAACCCUAACCCCGCCCUCCCUCGAUGACGUCGACUCCAAACUCCGCUCCCUUAAGCUCAAGUACUCCUCCAACCCUUCUCCUUCUCCUUCCCCUUCCCCUUCCUCCUCCUCCCAAAACGCUAACCCUAACCCCAACCCUAACGACGCCGUCAAGCUCUACCUCCACAUCGGCGGGAGCUCCCCCACCGCGCGGUGGAUUGUCUCCGACAAGCGCGCCUCCUACUCCUUCCUCAAACCCUCCCCCCUCCCCGACCGCGCUGAUGACUCCUCCUCCCCAUGGUCCUUGGUGAUCGGAUCCAAGGUGCGCGCCAAGGUGGGCGCGGAGAUGCAGCUGAAGCCGUUCCCCGAGCAGCGGCGCGUCGACUUCGUGGCCGAUGGGGUUUGGGCCCUCAAAUUCGCCUCCGCGGAAGGGUACCGCGAGUUCCAGAGCCAGUACCGGAGCUGCCUCUUCGAGAACACCUACGGCCUCGCCGCGACGGAGGAGAACCGCGCCAGGGUUUUCGGUAAGGAUUUCGUGGCGUGGGCGCAACCCGAGGUUGCAGACGACGCCAUCUGGGAGGAUGCCGAGGGGAGCUUCGAGAAGAGCCCGAUUCUCCCGGUUAGGGCGAGCCAGGACCUGUUGGAGGAGUUCGAGGAGGAGGCCAUUGAUGGCGGGAUUCAGAGCCUUGCGCUCGGAGCUUUGGAUAAUAGCUUCUUGGUGAACAAUUCGGGGAUCCAGAUUGUAAGGAAUUUCAACCAUGGAGUUCACGGGAAGGGCGUUUCGGUUAAAAUUAGCCAUGAUGGGGGUCAGAUUGCAGGGUCUUCGACCCCAAAGAAGGCGCUUUUGAUGAGGGCGGAGAGCAAUAUGCUUCUGAUGAGUCCGGGGCAAGCGGGGAAGCCCCACUCGACAGGUGUUUACCAGCUUGACAUCGAAACGGGGAAGGUCGUUACAGAAUGGAAAUUCGAGAAGGACGGGUCUGACAUUACGAUGAGGGACAUCACGAAUGAUAGCAAAGGCUCGCAAUUGGACCCUUCGGAGUCUACCUUCUUGGGAUUGGAUGACAAUAGGCUCUGCCGAUGGGAUAUGCGGGACCGGAGCGGGAUGGUUCAGAAUAUCGCCAGCUCAAAUGAAUCUCCGGUUUUGCACUGGACUCAGGGCCAUCAGUUCUCUAGGGGCACUAAUUUCCAAUGCUUUGCUUCGACCGGCGAUGGGUCUGUUGUGGUGGGUUCGAUUGAUGGGAAGAUCCGCUUGUACUCGAAGAAUUCAAUGAGGAUGGCCAAGACUGCAUUUCCGGGGCUUGGAUCCCCCAUCACUAAUGUCGAUGUUACCUUCGAUGGGAAGUGGAUACUGGGUACUACGGACACUUAUUUGAUACUCAUAUGCAGCAUCUUUAAGGAUAAAGAUGGAAAGGAGAAGACUGGUUUCAGUGGACGCAUGGGGAACAAGAUUGCGGCUCCAAGAUUGCUGAAGCUUACUCCACUGGAUUCGCAUCUGGCUGGGAAGGACAAUAAGUUUCAUGGGGGACAGUUCUCCUGGGUGAGUUUGAUUACUUCCCCUUCAUGCAUAUAUAUGUGUGAUGUCAUACAUGAUGUCAGUUUCUACUCAUGUAGUAGUUAAAUAUUAGUUGAUUAGUUUCUGUAGUUAUAGUGUUACUUGACUUGUGCUUCGCAUUUGCAUAUUUCCAAUUUUUAUUUGUCUUCCCAGGCUGUGACUAGCUUCUAGGAAUUAUAAUUUGUUGAAGUAUUCAUUUUUUUCAGUCUAACUAGAGAAAUCUGUAAGGAUGAAGGUAACUGUUGCUGUCUAUUUUGGAAUGAGAGGUAAUAUCCAGCUGUAGAGUUACUGUCAGGGAAACUAAUGCACUGACUUAUUUGUAUAAACCAACAUUACAAGCAAAUGCACUUAACCGGGGGGAAAAAAAACAAAAGCAGCUCAUGGAGAUAGAAAUAGUAUAAACUCGUUUAGUUUCUUGACAUGUACUUUCAACUUGCUAUGAAGUAGAGAUGAAAACAAGCAAUUGUUUUCGUAUUUUAGCUGAAACUUGAGAUGCAUUUGUUAUUGUCAAAAUUAUUGACUCGGCACUAGAAUGUAAAUUUUCAUGAAGACUCUAGACAUAUACAAUGAUGAUAUGAAACAUGAAUAUUCGCUCGUAUGAGAAUAUGGCACUUUCCACAUCUAUAGUAAAGUUUAGCUGUUUAGAAAGAGCAAAGAACAUUAGUAGGCAUGUUCCUCAAAGAACCGUUACAGAGUAAAUAUCUGCACAGAACACAUCUCUGGUCAAGAUUUAGUCUAGCAUGUUUCAGUUCGCUCGAGGUGACCUGUCCCAAAUUGCCAAUAAUCUAAGAUGGAUACCAGGAGGUAAGGUUUCUACUCAUUUAGAUGAUUUGGCAUUUGUAGAUUCAUUGACUGUUGAAGCAAUUCCCAUCUGGAAGUUUGAGUUACUUUGAUUGCCUUGGCUAUUUCCUAGCGCUUGCUAAGCGUCUAAGUGCCAGGCAAAACAAUAACACUCCAAUCUUAACUUGACCCCUACAGUUCACUAUCAGAUCUAAUCUUGUAGCAUUGCCAGGGGAGAUUUUUAAAAAACUCCUCAAUCUCGAUAUCAUGCCUGAGUAUCCCAUAUAGUAUAAUUAGUGCUAGAACCUUGCACAUAACGACUAUGAGUAGCAAGGGUGAGAGGCAGCUAAGAACUCGAAUUCAAGACAGAUGUCAAAAGGACAAGGAAUCUUGUCAUUGGUGGCGAUUAGAACAGGAUGUAUUUGGCAAACUCCAAAGUAUCGCUUUACGGUAGGAGUGAGACUUUAGCAGGUUUGGCCGUUUUUGCUAUUUUGGGUUUCACUUUGUCUUUCAGUGGCUAGGAACCCAUAUCAUAUAACGGCGGUCCAAAUGCUUAGAAAGCAUAAGCUUCAUUACAGAUAAAUUUGAGAGUUAUUCAGAUCUUUAGAGGAAGUUGCAGGAAAACAACUUUUGCGCAAAUUUGCUUCUGCGGUUGUUCUAUAUUUACUAUCUGCAGCAGUCUUGGUUUCUAUGGGGAUAAGUUUAUGUCAGCACUUGUUUCCUGUGGAAGAUGAAUUUCUGCAUGGGAGGAAAAAGAACCUAGAGAAGAGCCAUUCGCAUCAACAUCUCUUACUGCUGUAAGUUCCUAUCGAGAUUUUGUUGGGACCUCUAGUUUCUAGCUAAAGAGAGGGAUAUUAGAUCGAACAGAGGUAGAGAAUGAAUAGGACAAAAUGGACGGGGAAGAAGACAGGGUGCAUGGAUGAAUUCGCCUACUAUGGUUGAUCUUUAUUCAAGGAUACACCAAGUGUGACUCCACUUUCUGGACAGAAAUAAGUUGUUUCCGAGUAAAUAGAAAUUUGGAAUUAGUCUGGUGCUUUCGGAUUGCCCCAGGAAAUAUUGCGCUAGAUUUUAGUGUUUGUAUUGUCCACGACAUCUUUUGCUGGAUGAUAAGCAUGAUUUUUACAGGAGCUUUUGCAUAUUAUAAAAUGUACCAAAGAAAGUUUUGCAUUUGAAUAGUUAGAAUUUCUGAAAGUAGCUGUUUAAAAUAUUAGUCAUUUCUAGCUAACUACUUUUUUUUUUUGAAAGGAAUGUAUAGGGUAUUUCCUAUACGUUUCAUUGAAUGUAAUAAGAGUUACAUCUACUUGGCGAAAAGCCAUCAUAACUAGCCAGUAGAACAACGAAAUUCCGCUUAAGCACCUGAAUAUCCUUCUAAUACGGACGACUACAUUAUGCUUAUAUUUUUUUUGAGAAAAACAUUAUGCUUAUAUUGUCAUCUCGAAAACUUGAGAAUAUUCAAGAAAAAGAUGAUGGUGAGGUAAUGAACGUAAUUUCUUAUAUCAUGAGAUGAUGAGACAAUGAAUAGCAAUCAUUUAUUUGCCUCCAAUGCAAGUCAUAACAUGAGUGAUUGCUAUUCAUUAUCACAUUAAAUUUUGUUGCGUUCUCACUCCAAUUUGGAUGUCCAUUCACAUGCAUAGUGCAUUAUUUAUCUUUCUCAGAUGAUGAAUGCCAAGAUCCUAUUCUCGAAAUUCCUUUGGUUUUUUGUUGGAUUAACUGUCUCUCUUUUCACUGCUGCGGUAUCUUCAGGUGACAGAGAACGGUAAACAGGAGAGGCACCUGGUUGCAACAGUCGGCAAAUUCAGCAUCAUAUGGAAUUUCCAGCAGGUAAAGAACAGCAACCACGAGUGCUAUCGAAACCAGGAAGGGUUGAAGAGCUGCUACUGUUACAAGAUCGUCCUCAAGGACGAAUCCAUCGUCGACAGCCGCUUCAUGCACGAGAAAUUCGCCACAAGCGACUCCCCAGAAGCUCCUCUCGUGGUCGCAACCCCAAUGAAGGUUAGCUCCUUCAGUAUAUCAAAUCGGCGCUAACUUGUGAUUAUUUCGUUUUCCCUUUUCUAAUUAUCGCAUGGAGUGGAUUGAUUGCUGUUGAUAGAAUUGGUUUGAAAUUACAGAUUUGUUUGUGCAUAAAUUGUCAAUAUGCUAUAUUUAUGUGGCAUAAAUUCCUGCUUGUGGUUUUUAUAAUCAAGAUUACAUCAUUGUAAUGGCUGGAUUUCUUGGUGAUUUUGAGCAUAAUUUUUUCGUUUCUAUUUUUUUUUUUUUUAAAAUGCAUAUAUAUUACAUUUGGUUUCACAUGUUUAUUAUGGGCCAUUUUAUAGUGGGCCACACAGGCUGCUACACACAUUAUCGAUAUCUCGUAGCCAUAUUUUCAUAUUUGAAUCAUUGAAUUGCACACGAAUCAUAUGUAAACUAUUAAAAAGGUGAAUGUGUAGAGGUAGAGGGGCGUAUUGUACAUGCGAUCGCUCUGUGCUAUAAUCUGGUGCACAGAAUUUUCCUACACUCUGUACGAUCUUACUGUUCCUUCAAACUACUGUGAUGAUUCAUUAAUCCAAUAGUUGGUCAAUUCGACAGUUGACAUGCAAAUUGUGUUAUGCGUGGUAAGAGAGUUUGAUAGAAAAAUACUUUAUUUGUCUUCGUAAGUUGGUUAAGAUAUAAAUUUCUAUAGUCUUCUAGAAAGAUAGAGAGUAUUGUUAUAUACUUUCGACCUAACUCUUUUGUGCCCGAUAGCGUUAGGUGCAACCUUUCGUGCUGAAUGGGCCCUUCGAAGUAUGGUAGCAUUAGUCGGUGCCCGAGAAAGUCAUGCAAAUAUCCUCCCCACCUUAUCCUCUUUCUCGCAUGCAUAUUAUAUUCUACUUUGUUAGCAGAAAAAUCUUGCACACAUAAUCAUUUUACUGUAGAUUUACGACGGAAUGGAUCUCUGCUCUAGACUAUCAGCGGCUAAGAUCCCAUCUGCAGCAUACGUAUCAGGUUACAGGAUUUUUGUGCGCACGGAGCUGCAGAAAAAAUUGCACUCGACUUUCUCAUGUGUCUCUAUGUGUGUGCUGUCUGAUGGAGAACCAACAACUUCGAGCCAGACCAACAGCUUGGUUGACAAAGGCCAGGCUGUAGUCAAUUUUCUACGGCCUCGUGCCAAAACUCCAAUUCCAAGCACUUGACCAUUUUUUGAUUCUGCACAAGGUCAUUGUUUUGCUUUUGAUUUUGAAAUCUUAACGACUUACCAUUUGGAUUACUUAGCUGAGAAAGUAUGAUUAAAAAAAAAAUUUAUUUGUUUUCGUACGUAAUAUCACGUUUCGCAUACUGUAAUAAGUCGGUUAUAAUAUAUUUUCUGCGGUUCUAAAAACUCAGAAAUACAUUUAUAUAUGUUUUUAUACCAAUUUUACUUUAUCUAUUAUUAGGCCCUUAAGUCACUAGCAAGCCCUUCAUAUAUUCUUUUGCUAGAGUGCAUAGUACAUAACCACAUCAAUGAUCAACCACAAAUUAAACUUCUCACAUGGCGCUUUUUUCGGGCUUGAUUUGUUAAUCUCUUUACAUUUUAGGGCCCAUUUGUACAAUGAAACAAAUUAGAGGAAGACGUACAGAACUUACUUAAACUAUGAGCAUUUUGAAUCAGUUAUCUGAUCUUUCAAAAUUUUGAUUUUACAAUCCAACCUUUUCAAUUUGUUUGGUUAGAGUAAGUCAAUAAUACUUUAACUUCAAAAUUUAAGUUUAUUGCUUAUUUUAAUAUAUUUAUGAUUGCCAGAAUUGUAUAAAAUAUACUCACUAAAUAUAUAAAGAUAAACCAUGCAGUCAAAUUUUCAAGUCAAAGUAUUAUACCGACUAAAGCAAAAUCAAAAUUUUGAAAGAUCAGAUAAUAAUUCAAAGUGAUUGAUAGUUCAGCAAAAGUUCUGUAUAUUUUUAAGCAACAAAGUACUUAAUAAUAACUUUUUUGUUAUUAUGAUUAUUCUUUUAUGAAUAUUGCAUCCUAGAGUUUGUUGUUAGUCCAUUAAUUAAUAUAGAACUCUCUAGUACCCACAAUUUUUCGAGAUAAUGCUUACUACAUUUAUUUAAAGGAUGAAUUUAUUUGUUACAGAGAAAUUGACUUAAUAAGAGGUUUUAUAUCCUAUGUUGUAGUACUCUAGUAAACAUUUAAUCAAACCCAUCCAUCAAACUUGCCAAAAGUAAUAUUCUGAAACAAGAUAUUAAUUCAUAAUAUUUCUUUUUUUCAUGGUGCAAAAGCUAACAUUUCUUAAAGCAUCAUUUUAAUAUAAAAUUAUAAUAUUUUCUCCGCUUAGAGACUCUACCAUCAAAUACGACACAAUAUAAUAUCUUUUUUUUUUUUUUUUGUAGUGCAAGUAUUAAUAUUUCGUAAAGCACCGUCUUAAUAUAAAAUUACUGUAUUGCAUUUGCUCUGAGGCCCUGCAAUCUAAUACGACGAAAUAUAAUUAAUUUGACAUAUAUACAUCAUAUUUGUGGUGUAUAUCUUAUACAAUAUAGACUUUUGUGACCCUUGGUUAAGUGUCCUAGUAUCGUUAGAUUCGGAGAUAAGCAAAAAGUGGCUAUUACAGGAAUAGGUAUAAAUUGAGGUAUAAGCGGGGAUUAAAUCAAUUUUAUGUUUGGAUGAAAAUUGGGUUAUUCCUGAGAAUAAAAAAAAUAACGUUUGGUUAGGUAAGGUGGAAUAAGAAUUAAAGUUGGUAGAUAUAAAUAAAAAAUAUUGAUAUUAACCCUCUCCUUAUAUUUGAAUUUGAAAUUUUAAAUUAUAUAUAUAUAUAUUUUAAAAUUUAAAAUUUUAACUUUUAAAUUUCAAAUUUUCAAAUUAAAGUUUAAAAUUUAAAAUAUCAAAAUUUAAAUUCAAAAUUUUAAAUUUUAAAUUUUAAAUUUUAAAUUUCAAACUUUAAAUUUUAAAAUAUAAAAUAUCAAAUUUUAAAAUUUGAAAAUAAAAAUAGGGGUGGGAACAAUUAAUAAAAUUAAUUUACUAUAAUAAAUUUAUAAAUUUGAUAAUAAUAAAUUUUUUAAUAAAUUUAUAAAUUUUUUAUUAUUAAUAAAUUAAUAAUUUUUUAAAAUUCUAUUUAAACUUAAAUUUAAUAAAAAUAAUAUUUUAUAAUAUUUAAAUAUAAUUUAUUAUAAAAUUUAAUAUUUAAAUAUAAUUUAUGAUAAUAUUUAAAUAUAAUAAUAUGUAUAAUAUAGUAACAAUUAAUAAUUUUAUAAUAAAAAUAAUAUAUUAUAAUAUAUAACAUAUUAUAUUUAUAUAAUUUAAUUUUAAUUUAAUUUAUAAUUUUAAUAAAGUUUGAAAUUAAACAUUGAAUAGCACUAUUCCAUCAAAAUGGUGGAAUAGUAAAUCCCUCACUAUUUUGGAACAGCCAAAAAUAGCAAAGUUUGACCGGAUAAAAUAUCGGCAAAAAAUUAUUUCGUUUGGUGGAAUACGCGAGAAUAAUUUUCGUUAUUCCUGCUUAUACCGCCAACUAAGUUUUUAUUUUGAUAGACCCUUGCCCUCAAAUCAUGUAACUCUAGAGAGGAGAGAAGAGAGAGAGAGAGAGAGAGAGAAUAAAUAGUGGCCUUUAUUGAGAGGUUCAUCUCAUACUUUUCUCCUUAUCUCAUCCAAGAAGUUGGAACUUGUCAAGCACAACAACUGUGUACACAUGGUAAUGUUAGGCAAAGCAACUCCAAUUCCCCCCCCCAACUAGCUGUCCCUUUCUCUUUCUUUUGCCAACCAUUGUACCAAUCAAACCAGUUAUUUAUUAACCAAAAUUCAUUUACUUAUAAUUAUAUUAUUACUAUUAUUAUUAUUAUUAUUAUUAUAUAUUAUUAGUAUUAUCAUCAUUUUGGAGUACAAAAGGGGGCCUACAAGUGAAUGUAGCACAUGAGUCUCCCAGUCAAUUUGGGUUAGCCUGACCCCUUUACAUCCAAGCAAGGAAGGUGGGAGGAAGAUAGGGCCAUAUGGUUUGUUCUUGUGGGGGAUAAACAUCCUCACUGAGGAGAGAUAUUGUUGCCUGCACCAGCUGCGGAUAAAACUUUAGUGGGGAGCUCUCGGACGGCGUCUCGUUAGGGAGUACAUCUGAUGUACUGUCACAUACUAGUUUUGUUUCCAUCUAAUGAUUCAUCGAGUAUUUUUAAUACUAAAACACGAAAAAAGAUUUUAAUCCUAGAGGCCGGGAAGGAUUAUAUCUUUUGGAUAGAGAUAAAAGUGACGCGUGGCGACUAAUUAGGACUCCCUAAUAAGGCGUCGUUGAAAAGCUUCCGACUAUUUUUUUUUUUUUUUUCCACGAGAUGCAUAUAUAUGCUCACUUCAUUUACCUCAUCUAAUAUUUGGUUAAUUUUCAACAUUUAAAAUCAAAAUCUAAUUUGACUGAGGCCCCAUUUCAUUACAUCAAAAUAUAUAUAUAUAUAUAUAUAUAAAUUAUGUAUUUUAGAAACCUACUGCUAAACAGUAGAACAAUAAUUUUGAUAUAUAGGCUUUUUGAAUGUCAUAAAGUUCGUCCAUUUUUCAGAAAAAGUUGGAAGGAAAACAUAUAUACAUAAAUGGGACUACAGAACUUAGCAAAUAGAACUGCUGUUUUUAUUCUUUACGAAAACAGACGAGAUAUUUUUCCAUAGCGUAGUUUGGUACUAACAUUUUGAUUUCUGAGCGAGGUGCGGCGCAUAAGAUGCGCUUAAACACUAGGUAUAGGGAACAAGUUCAUUUCAUUUAGGGGGAGUAUAGGGACCUCACAUGAGUCCAACCACUAGCUAGUGCAUGCAUUCCCUUUCAUAUUUUCCUUGUGUAGGUCUCUCAUGGAAGGGUGUUGGGUAGGGCUACAAAAACCAAAUUGGUAGCGUCACGGAGAAGAAGAGAACAUAUUAUAAAUUUAUAUAUAUAUACUAUAUAUUAUUAUAUAUGUAAUAUAUAUAUAUAUAUAUAUAUAUGUAUGUAUAUAUAUAUAUAUGUAAUAUAUAUAUAUAUAUAUAUAUAUAUAUAUAUAUGUAAUAUAUAUGUAUGUAUGUAUGUGACAUGAGUCUCCAUCAAUAACUUUGGACUAGUCAUUUCGGAUAAGGACCAAUAGUACUAGGGAAUCCCUUCUAAACUGGGCAACUUAUCUCACAUGAUUUUUAAUUUUGUUUUCUCCUUUUAUUUUUUGGUCCUCCUUUUGUUCCUAUCUUUUACAUUGAGAAGGACCACUAUUUAGUCUCAUGCCUCUAUUUAUAUCCAAACGUUAAUUUUUUAUCUGAGAAUUAUAAUUCUCGAUUAGCUAUAAUAACCGGGUAUAACUAUCUCCAUCAAUACCUCCAUUUUUUAUAUAUAACUAUCAACUAUUUUUCUUAUUCCAUAUUAUCUAUCCAAACGCUAUUUUUUUUUAUCCUAAGGAACAACCCAAUUUUUAUCCAAACGCUAUUUUUUUAUCUCCAUACUUAUACCUAUCCCUGUAAUAGCUAGUUCUUACUUAUAUCCGAACCAAACGCUUAGGGUAUCAAAGGUGUUAUUAUAAGUAUUUUUCUUACGUUCAAAAUAGUGAAGAGCCGAGUUGAGCCGAGUCAUGUUCGAGCCACAAUCAAGACCCCUAAGUACUGUGUCUAUACGUUUUAAGUGAAUUGAUUGUAUAUUUCUAAUAGCUCGAGUUUUUAGAAUUAAUGGUUAGUGUCAACGAUUCUACAUCGGUAGAUUCUCCAAUACGACCUUACAAUACGGACAUGAAAACUUUCAGAUCAGAACAAAACUUUGAGAUGUUUCGUAGCGAAGUUGUUCUCUGACGAGGGUUCAGUUGAGUGGUUUUGCUGCAAUUCAUGAGAUGAGAAUCAUGCUAUCUAUAUGAGCUAAUGUUGGAUUUAAUGCUUUUAAACUUAAUUUGUACGCGGACAAAGUAUUUUUCGGAAUAUCAUUAUCCAAAACUAGUCCAAUAAAUUAAAACUUGUUUGAUGGAUCAUAAGAGCAUAUAAAAACAACCCCAACUCUCUCUUAUUUGUCUCUUAUUUAUAUGCGUUGCAUUUCAAUUGGUGCGAUUAACUUACAAAUCAAAAUGUAGAAAAUAAUUUCUAUGUUGGAGCUAUUUCAUUGUCACAAAUUAAGAGCAAAUGGAGAUAACCAUAUAUAACAAAUAACCACCCACAAUAAGGAGGAAUUAUUAAUUGCAUAGGUUUGAAAUAUAAAUAACACGAAAAUAAUAUAAUUUUUUUUUACCGUUCGAAAUGUCAAGAAUAUCAGCUCCAUAUUGUGGGUGGUUAUUUGUUAUAUAUGAUAGGAUAGCGAGUAUAACUUUCAUUAUUCCAGCUUUAUCCUCGAAAUAAAUGGUCCAAUAUGAAUUGUGUUUCAUAACUUUUCAAAAUUAGUUUCUAGUNUAAUUUUUUUUUACCGUUCGAAAUGUCAAGAAUAUCAGCUCCAUAUUCAAUAGAGCCCUAACUCAACAUUAAUCUCACAUUAAAUAAAAAUAAGAAUUUCAAGUUAUAUACAACAUAUAAAUAUUUUUCUAACCAUUAAGUUAUAUAUAAGAAUUUUACUCUCCAGUGAUUAAAAAAAGUAAAAUAUUUUUCUAUUAUUAGUAUUUUUCCUACCAACAGGCGACAACAAAAAGCUUAAAAAACCGAAGUACUCGCAAUUAGGGAAACGCAUAUAAUUACACGUUUAACAAAAAUCUUUUCAAGAUAAAAUAUUUUUACCAACUGUACGUGCAGUUCAACUGAUAUCGCCGCUUCUUCUUAACAACAAUAAAUAAGUAGAUUUUUUUUUUUUUUUUCAUACCAAAUUCUACGGCACAGUCAAGGCAAAGAUCAUGUUAGCUACUUCCCCACUAACUAUUUCAACCACUGCUAAAGAAACCAAAGAAACCAAAGAAACCAAUCCACUAAUCCAUCACUAUGUUUACAUCCUCUCUCUCUCUCUCUCUCUCUCUCUCUCUCUCUCUCAAUCUCAAUCUCUUAAUUAAUGUUUCAAAAGAAUAAAUAAAAAUAUCAAGUAUGGUCAAUUUGUUCAUUUACUUUUCCAGAUUCUGGAGUGGGUGAGAUUUAGAUGAAACUCCAACCCCCGAAUCUUCAAGCAAUUAAUAAUAAAGUUGGCUUCUUUUUUCUUUUUUCUUUUUUCUUUUUUUCUUUUUUUUUUUUUUUCUUUGAGCUUUUAACAUGCAUGAAACUCUUUUUGCAACUCCUUGCCGUGUUCAAAUAUGAUGCUUAAAGAAAAAGAGGCCGCGUAUUUUCAAACUUUACGGCUCUUAGGACAUUUGUAUUUCGAGUAGUAUUAGCUGGACCUUGUCCGCCACAUCAGCCGUGGACCGCAUAGUAAAAUUAAUUUUUAACUAGUGAAGUUAUCCGCGCAUUGCAGCGGACUAAUGCUAUAGAAGAUAAAGAUCGACAAAUUUAAAAUUUUAAAAUUUUUUGACUUGUCGUGAGAUGUCAAUAGAUACAAAUAGAAAAUAUAAAAUAGAUAUGUAUAAAUGUAGUAAAAUUUACAACAAUAAAUAAAUUAUAUAUAAUAAUAAUGAAAGAAACGGUAAUAAAGUUAUUACUCUAUAUGCAUCUUAAUUGUCCUGUCAAGAUCGGAGAGGUAAUUCUUGUUCUCCGCGUCGCCUCUGCCGCUAUUGUCGGCGUCGAGCUUUUCUUCGAUCAUGGCCAUGUCGAUGCCCUACGGAGCACCCCCCACACCCACUGCUUCUUCCUCAGAAUUCUAAUUUCAAUCCUCACAUAAUUUAAAAAGAUUAAAAAAUUAAAAAAAUAUAAAAAUUGAAUCAUUCUUGUACAUCAAAAAAAAAGAAGAAGAAGAAAAUGUGAUAAAAAGAGUAUGAAGAGAUUUUAUUUAUUAUUUUUUUUUAAAAGUAAUUUAUUUAGAUGAAAAUGAAUCAUGUGAAUAUAUUAAUUAGAAAGUGGGCAGUCCGAGAUGAGGUGGGAAGGCAAAGUAUCAGGGAAUGAGAAGAGGGGUGAAAAAAAAAUUACCACGUCGCAAACACCAUAAAAAAUAAUGUAUAGAAACUAUAAAUAUAGAUAUAGAUAUAGAUAUAGAUAUAGAUUCUAGAUAGCGCGAGAUGAUGUUGAUGCAUCUGAAUUGACUAAUUAUACAUAAACUUAUCGAAUUUGAUCAUUUUUCAUUGUCUGCAUUAAUUAAUUUGAUUAAAUGUUAGCAUCACUGCGCUUCACCAAAAGGCUAAGACUAUGUUCGAUAAUAAAAAGAAAAUACGUUCUGAUUCUAAAAUCUUACGAAGAAAUUAAGAAAACGUCUUAGUAAUUAUACAGCUCACGACUAACUUUAAUGCACAGGGUCCCCACAAUAAUUUUACACAUAUUUUGUCACAUCCCACGUUCUUAAUUUUCAUAAAUAAAAUAAUAAUAAUAAACUGGUGGUUAGAGCCUCAAACUGGAGGAAUUCUACACUGUCACACAUGCACCACGUCAUCAAUAACAAGCCAAUCACAUUCCUUCUUUUAAACAAAAGUACAAUAAAAAUACUUUUUUACAAUCAUGAUGGGACAUAUAUUCUUAAAAGGAUUAAUUUGAUUGGUUUGUUACGCCACAUCACUAAUAUACCCGUUGCAUUCUAGAAUUUUUCGCACUGGGGACCAAAAGGAGUUUAUUCUUGCCUUGGACUAAAGAUGAACGGGUAUAUUAGUGAUGUGGCGUAACAAACCAAUCAAAUUAAUCCUUUUAAAAAUAUAUGUCCCAUCAUGAUUGUAAAAAAGUAUUUUUAUUGUACUUUUGUUUAAAAGAAGGAAUGUGAUUGGCUUGUUAUUGAUGACGUGGUGCAUGUGUGACAGUGUAGAAUUCCUCCCCCCGUGCACACGGUCCAUGGAACUUGCCACGUGGGAGUGGGACCCACAGUCACUAUCUCAUUAAAUUAAGGGAAAACUUCAAAAACCCCCGUAGUUUCGUAGUUUCUCACUUUGCCGCCCCGUGGUUUAAAAUGUAUCAAAUUGUCCCCAUGUGGUUUCGUUUUUAUCUUUUCGGUAGCUUUUUCGUUAAUAUUUCAUUAAAUUAUAUACAAAAAAAACUUCAGAUAUCCAUCUAGAUUUAUCAAAUAUUCACUUUAGUAUCCUUUAAUUUUAACUUUAUCACUGAUUUAAGAAAAAACAAAUAAUAAAAUUGAUAAGAAAAAGAGAAAAAAGAAACCACAUGGGGGCAAAUUGAUAUAUUUUAAACCACAUAGGGCAAAGUGAGAAACUACGAAACCACAGGAUUUUUUUGAAGUUUUUCCUUAAAUUAAUCCCAUUGGAUAGUGGUGUGUGUACGGACAAUUUAAAAAAAAGGGGUUAGAUUUCAAAUAUCACCUCUGUGAUUUCACACUUUCUCAUUUUAGUACUCUAUAUUUUAAAGUGUAUCAAGUUAGUGUGCUGUGGUUUUAUUUUUAUCUUUUCGUCAGUUUUUUUAUUAAUAUUUUGUUAAAUUAUGUAUAAAAAAUUUCAGAUACUCUAUCUAAAUUUAUUAAAUAUUCACUUUAGUACCCUUUAGUUUUAAUUUUGUCACUGAUUUAAAAAAAAAAAUUAGUAGAAUCGAUAAUGAAAAUAUAAAAAUAAAACCAAUGGUACUAAAUUGAUACACUUAAAAUAUAGGGUAUUAAAGUAAAAAAGUAUAAAACCACGGGAUGGUAUUUGAAGUUUUUUUUUUAAAAAAAAAUGCCACUCACACCAACCUUUCUCUCUCUCUCUCUCUCUCUCCUCUCUCUAGAGAAUUUGUUGUAUAUACUGAAUAAUGGUUGAUAUUUUUAUUCAUUACUUUAAAUAUUGAAAAUUCCAUCUCUCGCUAGCGUGUUUACUAUUAGGGCUUUUUGAAUUUUUAGCAUUUUUGAGAAAUAUAUAUCAAGUGAUCUUUCUCGAAAAAUAAAAAAAAACUUCAGUGGUGAGCUUUCCAAUAAUGCCCCGUUAAGAAGACCCAAUUCGUCGUCAUGUGUUACUUUUAUAUCUAACCAAGAAUUAUAACCCUUUUUUCUAUGAUUUAUUUUUUUGUUAGAUUUUUAGUAUUGAAAAAAACACAAAACGAGUAGUUGGAUGGAGGCAAAACAAACACAUAGUAGUAGAUUGGAAGCCCUACAACGAGACCUCGUUAGGGAGCUCCCACUGAAGUUUUAUCCUGUCUCGAGAUAGUUCUUAAUGUGGGGUCAAGAAGAUAAUUCAAAGAAAGAAAGAAAGAAAGAAACUCUACUAAUUGUAUUAAUAUAUGUACCAGUCGUAUAAGCACAGUAUUCUAUAUAUGCACAUAAAAUUAUAUUUAACAAUAGAUAUUUCAAAAUCAUAACCUACUAAAGUAAAUGUGAUUUACAAUGUCUAAAAUGUCUAUAUAUAAAAAAUAAAUAAAAAUAACCAUUACGUUGGAUGGGUAAAAAAAAAUCAGCAUCAUAUAUAUAUAUAUUAUAUAUAUAUUAUAUAUAUAUAUAUAUAUAUAUAUAAUAUAAUAUAUAGAACUAGCUGGAAUACUAUUAAUAGCGACAAACCUAUUGUGCUAUUGAUUUUUAGUUCUUAGAUUAAGAAAUGGAUGGUUAGGAUGAUGUGGGCCUCUAGGGUUAAGUGAGUAGUUGGUUGAAUAGUAUAAUCUAACGGGUAAAAAUAAUCAGAGGGUUAAUCUAACGGUGGAGAAACUCGAUAGCACCAAAAUCCUUAGUGCUAUCGAUAGUACCCCAGCUGGACUCAUAUAUAUUAUAUAUAUAUUAUAUAUAUAUAUAUAUAUAGAGAGAGAGAGAGGAGGAGAGAGAGAGAGAGUCCGGCUACUAACUUUUAUGAGUAUUGGCUUCCUUAUACUCAUAAGCUUUCGGCCUUAGAUUUAUUCCACUGAUCAUUUCCAUCCGUUAGAUCAUACUAUUCAACAAACUACCCACUCAACCCUAGGGACUACUAUCAUUUUAAGUGGGGACUACCAUCAUUCUAACCACACAUCCCAUCAAUCAACGGUUAAAAAUUUAUGAGUACAAGGGGCCUAUACUCAUAAGAGUAUAGUAGCCCCAGCCUAUAUUAUAUAUAUAUAUAUAUAUUAUAUAUAUAUAUAUAUAUAGGAAGAGAGAGAGAGUCCAGCUGGAAUGCUAUUGAUAGCACGAAGCAUUUGGUACUAUCAAGUUUUCUGCGUUUAGAUUUACCUCCUUUAUCAUUUUCAUCCGUUCGAUUAUACUAUUCAACUAAUCACACACUCAACCCUAGAGGGCCCACAUCAUCCUAACUGCACAUCUUUUAAACUAAUGGUAGAAAACUUAAUAGUAUCAAGUCAUUGGUGCUAUUAAUAAUAAUCCAGCCUAGUUCUAUAUAUAUAUAUAUAUAUAUUAUAUAUACACGCACAUUCUUUAAACUAAUGGUAGAAAACUUAAUAGCAUCAAAGUCAUUAUAUAUAUAUAUAUAUAUUAUAAUAUAUACACGCACAUCUUUUAAACUAAUGUAGAAAACUUAAUAGCAUUAAUAUCAUGGUGCUAUUAAUAGAUUCCAGCCGUAAGUGUACUAUAGUAUAUAUUAUUAGUAUAGUAAUAUAGGUGAUAUAUUAAGGUUACGAGAGAGAGAGAGAGGGAGAGAGAGACGAGAGAGAGAGCUAGAGAGAGAGAGAGAGAGAGAGAGAGAGUCCGGCUGGAAUACUAUUGAUAGCACGAAGUAUUUGGUGCUAUCAAGUUUUCUACUAUUAGAUUUACCUCUGUGAUCAUUUUCAUCCAUUCGAUUAUACUAUUCAACCAACCACCCACUCAACCCUAGGGGACCCACAUCAUCCUAACCGCACAUCUUUUAAUUUAAAAACAGAAAACCUAAUAGCACCAAGUCAUUGGUGCUAUUAAUAGUAUUCCAGCUCUCUCUCUCUCUCUCUCUCUCUCUCUCUAGAGAACUUGUUGUAUACACUGAAUAAUACACUAUCUAAUAUAAUUGGUGGAUAUUUUUAUUCAUUACUUUAAAUAUUGAUAAUUCGAUCUCUCGCUAGCGUGUUUACUAUUAGGGCUUUUUGAAUUUUUAGCAUUUUUGAGAAAUAUAUAUCAAGUGAUCUGUCUCCAAAAACAAACAAAGCUUCAGUGGUAAGCUUUCCAAUAAUGCCCGGUUAAGAAGGCCCAGUUCGUCGCCACGUGUUACUUUUAUAUCUAACCAAGAAUUAUAAUCCUUUUCUCUAUAAUUUAUUUUUUUGUUAGAUUUUUAGUAUUAAUAAAAAAAACCAAACGAGUAGUUGGAUGGAGGCAAAACAAACACAUAGUAGUAGAUUGGAGGCCCUACAACGAGACGUCUCCCACUGAAGUUUUAUCCAGUCUCGGGAUAGUUCUUGAUGUGGGGUCAAGAAGAUAAUUCAAAGAAAGAAAGAAAGAAAGAAAGAAACUCUACUAGUUGUAUUAAUAUCUGUACCAGUCGUAUAAGCACAGUAUUCUAUAUAUGCACAUAAACUUAUAUUUAACAAUAGAUAUUUCAACCGAUCGUCCCUAGAGCAAGUGGCAAAAGGCUUGGUGGUUGGUACCCGAGACCCAAGUUCGAACCCUAGUUGAUUUACAUUUCUAGCUAAGUUUAUUUCUAAAUGAAAUAAACGAAGCGGAUAGCGUGCUACCUAUCUCUCAAAAAAAAAAAAACAAUAGAUAUUUCAAAAUCAUAACCUACUAAAGUAAAUGUGAUUUACAAUGUCUAAAAUGUCUAUAUAUAAAAAAUAAAUAGAAAUAACCAUUACUUGAUGGGUAAAAAAAAUCAGCAUCAUAUAUAUAUAUAUAUAUAUAUAUAUAUAGAACUAGACUGGAAUACUAUCAAUAGCACCAAGCUAUUGGUGCUAUUGAUUUUUUAGUCCUUAGAUUGAGAAAUGGAUGGUCAGGAAGAUGUGGGCCCCCUAGAGUUAAGUGAGUAGUUGGUUGAAUAGUAUAAUCUAACGGGUAAAAAUAAUCAGAGGGUUAAAUCUAACGGUGGAAAACUAGAUAGCACCAAAUCCUUAGUGCUAUCGAUAGUACCCCAGCCGGACUCAUAUAUAUAUAUAUAUACAAGCUGGAAUACUAUUAAUAGUAAAACGCUCUUUUUGCUAUCAAGUUUUUAACCAUUGGAUGAAAAAUUGUAGGGUCAGGAUGAUAUUAGUCGGUUAGAGUUGAGUGGUCCCCCUAGGGUUGAGUGGUCCUCACUGGGUUAUAGUAUUUAAUCCAAUGGUUAGAAAUAAUGAAAAGAGUUGAUCCAAAGGCUAAAAAACUGGUAGAGAACAAUGGAAUAUUUAUACUAAUAGUAGCCCAUCAACUAGUUAUAUAUAUAAAAUUCGGCUGGAAUACUAUUGAUAGCACGAGGCAUUUGGUGCUAUCAAGUUUUACUAUUAUGAUUUACUUCUUUCAUCAUUUUCAAUCCAUUCGAUUAUACUAUUCAACCAACCACCCACGCAACCCUAGGGGCCCACAUCAUCCUAACCGACAUCUUUUAAUUCAAUGACAAAAAACUUAAUAGCACCAAAUCAUUGGUGCUAUUUGAUAGUUUCCAGCCCUAACAUAUAUAUAUAUAUAUAUAUAUAUAUAUAUAUAUAGUUGAGAUAGAAUACUUUCAAAGCUUAAAGAGUGUGGUACUUUUGAGUUUUAGCCUUUGGAUGAAAAAAUGUAGAAUUGAGAUGAUGGUGAUAGGUGUAGUAGGUGGAAUAGUGUUUGAUGCAAAGGUAUUAGUAAUCAAGUAGUAGAUCGAAAGGCUAAAAACUUGCGAGCACCAAGGGGUGGUGCUUCUAAGUAUUCUAGCUCAAUUAUAUUUAUAUAUAUAUAUAAUAUAUAUAUAUAUAUAUAUAUAUAUAUAUAUAUAUAUAUAUAUAUAUAUAAUAAUGAGAUCCUAUGCUUUUAAAAGUACCAAGUCAUUGAUGCUUGUAAGUUUUCGACCCUGGAUUAAGAGAUGUGCGGUUAGGAUGAUGUGGGCCCUUAGGUUUAGUGGUAGUUGGUGAAUAGUAUAAUCUAACGGGCGUGAAAAUGUUCAAGGUGUAGAUCUAACGGUAACAGAUUUACAAGCACCAACUGCUUGGUGCUUUUACAAGCACCAUAGCCGGCUCAUCUCUCUCUCUCUCUCUCUUCUCUCUCUCUCUCUCUCUUCUCUCUCUCUCUCUCCUCUUAUUAAUAUAUAUAUAUAUAUAUAUAUAUAUAUAUAUAAAAUUGAAAUGUACAUUUUAAAAGCCUCAGAGCAUCACAAGUAAGUUUUUUUUUUGAGAGAUAGGUAGCACGCUACCCGCUUCGUUUAUUUUAUUUAGAAAUAAACUUAGCUGAAAAUGUGAAUCGACUAAGAUUCGAACUUGGGUCUCAAAUACCAACCACCAAGCCUUUUGCCACUUGCUCGAGGGAUGGUCGGUCAUCACAAGUAAGUUAAAUUCUAAUUUUGAGGUUUUUAUUCUAAAAUUUUUUAAAUAUGGUGUAUGAGAUAUACUUGUACACUUGGUGGCGGCAAUAAUGUCUCAUCUCUCUCUCUUUUAACUUUGCCUUCAAUGCAAGUUUUUUCAUGCUCGAAGUAUAUCCAUCAAAGAUCUCUUUCUCACACCAUAUGCCAUAAUAAAGAAAAAAAAAAAGAAAAGAAAAAGUAAACAUUAGGUCUAAUUAGAAGAAAUUAAAUAAGAAGACUCGAUACUUUUUCUCUAAAAGUGCCCUAAUUUUUUUAUUGUAAUAAGGCAAUCACAAGCAUGCUAUUUAAAUUAUUAAAGAGUAGACCGAUUGACCCGAUAAUUCCAGUCCUAAUCUCUUCCAAUUUUGAUGGUUCAAUGAAUUUAAAUGUUUAAAUUGCCAAAUAAUGAUCGAUAUUUGCUCAACUAUAUGUAUUUGAUUCUAUCUUAGCUCAUAAAUUUAUUCUCAAAAUCAGAACAAAUUCUGUCGUUUAUAAUAUUAACUAUUUAUCUUCAAAAUUUUAUGAUGUCAGAGACUCACGUUGUAAAGAUCAAACCUAUCUAAUCCAAUAAUAUAUAUAUAUAUAGAGAGAGAGAGAGAGAGCUGGAAUGCUAUCGGUAGCAAAUGGGUUCCGUUGCUAUUUAUUUGUUUUCAAUGAUGGAGCCUCAAAAUCGACGAUCGGUACUCUUGAAUAUGAUAUAUAUCACUUGAAGUAUAUCUGAAAAUCAAAUUUCAAAUCUUUUCAAUAUCAUUAGCCUAAUGAUCAAAGAAUUUCAAAAUUUGUAAUUUUAAUGGUCGAUAUAAGAGUUUUUUCGUUUAACGGCGUAAAGAUAUUCAAAUCAAUUGAAUUUUCGUUAGAAAAUUCUUUAAACUAUUUAGAAGAAAAUUUAUACUCUUGAUCUUGAUUACAGAACUCCUAUCAUCACUUUUUAAAAAGAUAUUCAUUUUCAGCCAUUCAUUUUCAUAUUCACUUAAUGGACAAGAGAACAAUAUCGAAAAAAUGUAAAAUUUGGUUUCUAAAUACUUCAAUUGGUAUAGAUUAUAUUCAACGUUAUCGAUCGUUGAUUUAUAGGCUCCAUCAUCACAAACAAAUGGAUAGUAAUGAAAUCCGUUUGCUACUGAUAGUAUUCCAGCUCAACACUCUCUCUCUCUCUAGAUCUCUAGAUCUCUAUGUAUAUAACACCCUACCCACAUAGAGGCUUUUAUUUUAUUUUAUUGCUAUUAUAAUAAAUAUUUUUUCUUAUUCAUUGGCUUGCUCACACACGCAUAUUUUAGAUUAUCCAAAGUUCUCCAAAUCUUAAUCCUCUUCAUUUUUAUUAUUUUUCUAUUGGCUGCGUGGAAACCAUAUCAACUUUUAAUCCCCUCUCCUAACUCACUACCUGCACGUUUUGUCCACAUAUAGGACCACAGCAUGAUCUUACUUAGUCUAUAUAAUUAUACCCAUAAAUAUCCACUAAUGUUUUCCCAAUUAUUAAAGCACAAGAUCUAAGAUCCAACGGUCGGCAAUCAUCCGAAAAAUUGCCAUAAAAUUCUAACCCACAAACCUAAUCAUGUGCGUGAGAAACUCUGUCCGGUUCUCUGAAUAUUCUGAUAUUCUCAUACCAUGUUAAACCUCUAAUAGCUAACUAUUCCGAUAGGAUUUGAACUCAGAAUCUCGUAUAAUUAUUAUUUUUUAAAAGUUUAGAAAAAUUAUAUAGAAUUAUGUUUUAAUAUUUUUAUACUUUUGAUAUUAAUCUAGCAGGUCCCAUGCUUCGAUAUCAUGUUAAAAUAGUGUGAAACAAUUACCGUUCUUCAAAAACUUGAGUUGUUAAAAAACGCUAUUUUAAUAUAUAUAUAUAUAUAUAUAUAUAUAUAUAUAUAUAUAUAUAUAUAUAUAUAUAUAUUCAAUAAUACCAGAGUAGAAGAUUCUGACUUCGAAUAUAUUCUAUAGUCUUAUUGCUUCAGCUCAAUUUUUUUCGAUUUAACUCAAGUUAACGUUUUGAAUCUGUAAAAAGUCUCAAAUCUAUGUGCGAGGAGUAGAGCUGAAUAUAAAUAGUGAAAGUGUCAAUUCUAGAAGUGAAAAAAGUGAAUAUAAAUAUUAAACACACUAUUGUUUCAUGAGAUGAGAUUUUAGAUAACAAUGACUAUUUCACAUCUAUUUAAUACUUGGGAACGAUAUAGGACAGUUAAGUCAAUGUGAAUUUAAUCUCUCCCUAUCAAAAUAAGGAGAGUUUAAACUUAAGCAUAAUUAAUUUGAAUUAAAUUUUAGUACAUCUAGAAGGUACUAGAAGGUACCAUAAUUUGUACCCCCACCCAAUGGAAAAAUUAUUUGAGUUUGAUAUUGUUCUAAAUAUUUGAUGGAAUUGUUACACGGGACCAUGUUACUUAAUUGGUUGGCUAGGAGCAGUGGACUUUUCUUCGAGUAAAAAUGUAUGAAGGCCCCUCAACUAUCGGUUAUUCUAAAUUAGGCCAUCAACUUUAAUAAUAAAAUUUAAUUUAACUUUUAAUUUUUUUUGAAAUUAUGAAAUUUUAGUCAAAAAUUUAAAAAUUUGAUCAUAUUUAUUGGUGACAUCACCAAUUAAUAUUUAAUAAUUAUUAUAAAAUUUAGUAAAUAUGAUAAAUGUUUUAGCUUAGCUAAGUGUAAAGAAAAUUCAAAUGAAAAAAAAUAAAUAAAUAAAGUUGAGGCCGUGUUUUCAGAUUUGCGUGUAGUUGAGGGGGGUCUUCAAACAUUUUCAUUUAUUUUAUUUUAUUUUUUUGAGGAAACGGCUCUAGCUAUGGCGGAUCUAUAAAGAUAAAGUGGGGCCCACUGUGGGCCACGUGGCGGGUGGGUGUGGGCCCCACACGUGCGUGGGGCGUUUCGGAAAGAAAUGGAUAACGAUCAACCCACUCCUCCCCCUCAACCGCGACCGUGGACCGAACCGGUCAACGGCCAAGCAGGGCCCGCCACGUGUCACGUCGGUCGACGUCACCGUGACGUCACGCUAUGGGGGGGACCGUGACGUGUCGACGAUCCGAGGUAGGAGAGAGAGAGAGAGAGAGAGAGGGGGAGGGUGGAGGUGGGGGAGCGGGGGAUGUUUCGGAGGGGGCGCGGCUCCCGAGGCGCACCGCCAUACGACCGGCCCGCACAGAAGUUUUCUCUGCGACACCAGGCAUCCGCCGUUGAGCCCCCGGGCGGCGCAGACGUGGCGCGCGAUUAAGGGCGCCCGCGGGGCAACGGGGGGCAGCGGAUUCGUCACGUGGGGGCGGGGGCCGCACGUGUGGGGGACCACGCGGGAGUGGGGCGCGGGGAGGCGCCACGUGGAGUGCUGGGACACGUGGAGGAACGCGAUUGGCUACGAGGUGGGUUCUCGAGGUCGCUGCGUUCUCACGGAGCUCUGAGGAUCUCUUUUUUUUGUUUUUUUUAUAAACUGAGCCCGGGUGUGGCCGGGGGUGGUUUUUGUGAACAUCUGGUAGCUUUCUGUUGUUGCUGGUGACCCGGGAUGGGCGUGUCGGUUAGUCUUGACCGACCGUUCGGUAGACUUCGCGUCUAGACGGAAAUUUGUGCCUAUUAAGCUCGCCAGACCUGUACCAUCUUAGCGCGAACACCAUUCAAUGAGAAUAUUUUUUUCUUAAAAAAUAAUUAAGAUACCAUUAUUAUAAUUUAUAUUAUAUUAUAUAUAUUAAGUUGUUUAUUUAUGAUGUAUGAGUGUGAAUGUAGAAGUUUAUUUUUUAAAUUUUUAUUAUUUAUAUUAUAUAUAUAGAGUAUGUACUGUGCUAUUAGGAGGCAAGGCAGCUUUUAUAGCUCCUUUAAGUUCUUGACCGCCCAUCAAAUUUGAUGGGUGGUUACGGUGAAAGGGAGAAGAAAAAUUAAAGAGAAAUUGGGUUCCUUAAUUUCUCUUCUCUUUGAAUUUCUCUCCAAUUUCUCUUUUCUCUCUCACCUUAACCACCCAUCAAAUUUGAUGGGCCAUUAUGAACUUAGGAGCACAAGGGCUGCUGUGCUCCUAAUAGCACAGUAGCCCUACUUUAUAUAUAUAUAUAUAGUAGUAAGAUUACUUCAAUACUAAAAAAAAUAUAUUUUCUAUUCAAAAAAUAAUUAGUUAGGUGAACUUAUCUUUCAUUCUAAAAUUUUUCAAUUUAACUGCUGUUGUUGGAAGUGAGCUUGAUUUUAACUGCUACAGUUAGACCUUCUCAUGCAGUUUGAACUGUAAAAUUAAAUUCAAAUAUAUUAAAUCAAAUAUUAGAUUUGAGUCUGCAUAAAUUAUUACUAUAUAUAAUCAAAAAGUAAUCUUUAAAGCAUAUUUUUAUUUUUUUAAUUCUAUGAUUAGAAGUGUGAUACUUUGCUUUUUUUUUCAAAAAAAAAAGCUUACAAAAUCGAUUCAAUACCAGAGAAUUAAAUAAAAAUAAUCUAAUAAUAAAGUUAUUUCACUUUCUCCAAAAAGCAGUGUUCCAGUGACGCAUUAUUAAAUUCAACAUUGUCCUAUGUAGCUAGACAACUUGGUUUUGAUAGGUUAUAAUGUUGCAUGAAUAUCAAUAUUAAAAUAUGGUUUACCACUACAUCAAAAUUCGGACCUAGCUAGAAUUUUCAAAAGACAAAUUAUUUAAUAUUUAUUUUGUAUUUAAAUGUAGUAAUAUCUUAAUUUAUCCUUUUCUUAUGUUGUAGGCUUUAUAAUGGUGUUGCAUGUUUACAUGUGAUUUAUUUUUUAAGAUGAUUCCUAUGGUAUGUUUGGUUCCGAAAUAAAUUUUUUUUGCUUACUUAUCGGAUAAGUAUAAUUUCAAGAAUAAAUAUAAAUAAGAUUAAUUUUACGUUUGGAUAAAAAGUAUGUUAUUUUUAAAAAUAAGAAAAAUAGUGUUUGGAUAGUUAGAUAGAAAUAAUAGGAAUAAGAGUAAUUAUAGUAGUUAAAUAAUAAUAUUUUAUAUACAAUUAAUUAACAUCAAAAUAUUAAGUAACUAAUAUUUAAUAAAUUAAUUAAUUAAUUAAUUUAUCAUGAAUAUUAUUGGAUAAUCAUAAAUGUUAGUUAAUAAAUUAAUUAGGACAUUAAUUGAUCAUUAAUUAAUUAUUUAAUUAACCAUGAGUACUGUUAAUUAAUAAAUUAACUAACUAUAAAUAAUUUGAUAAGUUAACAAAUUAACAAAUUAAUAUGUUGAUAAAAUAAUAAAUUAAUUAAGAACUUUUAUUUAAUUGGUUAUAUUGGUCAAAAUAUUCAAUUGAUUAAUCAAUAUAGAUAUUAGUUAUUUACAUAAACACACUAAAUAAUUAUUAAUUUUUUAAAUAUAUUAUUAUUAAAAUAGUUAAUUAUUAAUUUAGCAAAUUAAUUAAUAUAAUAAUAUAUAUAUAUAAUAUUAAUUAAUAAUAUUUUAUUAUUAAAUUAGUAGAGAAUAAAAGAGAAGAAAUUAUUAUUUUAACAAAAAAGUGGAACAACAAUUUUUCCCUCUUAAUGGGUUAUUAUAGAAUAAUUCUUUAAGAGGGGAUUAAAUAAAUCCAUUUCUCCCUCUAGUGUUCGGAUAAACUAGAGAGAUAAAGUAGUUUAUUUUCACUUUAUCCCUCAACCGAACACCGCCUUUAAUAAUAAGAGUACAAUUGAAUGUGAUUAAAAUAUUCUUGUAUUUGAGUAUACCCCCCUCUCUCUCUCUCUCUCUCUCUCUCUCUCUCUCUCUCUCUCUCUCUAUAUAUAUAUAUAUAUAUAUAUAUAUAUAUAUAUAUAUAUAUAAUGGGAGGGGUAAGGAAAUAAACUGAAAACAUCCAACUAUUUUUGUAGAUUUCGAAUGAGCAAGAAUCACAACCGUAUGUAAUCCGUCUUUGAAAAUCAAAAAUCAUUAUAAAAUUGUGAUUUUAAUAUUAGGGUUAAUUUCAUACAGGUCCCUAAAAAUAUAGCAAAUUAUAAAUAUACCUCUAUAAAGUUCAACUUUCAUAUAUUGUUUCUAUAAAAUUUCUAAUAUUUUCAAAUAUAUUUCUCUGAUUUGUUACCAUUAAAAUACUGUUUAUUUUAUAAAUAAAAAUGAUCUUUUUGUCAUCACAAAUAUAUCUUGUUAAUUAAAAAGGGAUAAAAUGGUCAGUUCACCUUAUUAACUAACCAAGAUUAAGCAUUUAACCUAUGGUUAACUAAAUUUGUCUAACGAAUUCUAACAGUAGAAAUAUAUAUGAAAACAUCAGGACUUCUGUAAAAAUAAUAUAUGAAAGUUAAACUUUAUAAAAAUAUAUUUAUAAUUUACUAUAUUCGUAGGAAUCUAUAUUCAAACUCUCCUUUCUCUUUUUCUCCUCAUUUUUUUCUCCGGAGUUUCACAACAGGUAAAAUUGGGCUUUCCAACAUUUCUUAGAAAGUCACUGAUAUUGUAUGCAGUUUACCUAAUUUGAUAAUUAGCUGGUUUCUGCAGUUGGGUUUGAUUUUUCCCACUAUUUUUUUUUGACCCAGUAAUCAACUGGGAACAACAUCUGCCGUAACACACUGUUCUACUUCAAAGUAGAAAUUGUUAGUGAGAGGUCAAUAUUUAUUAAACCUAUUCAAGUUUGUACCCUCUACUUUAUUAAUGUCUCUGCUACUGAAAAUGAAAUGAUUUAGGAAUUUGACUUGUUCUACCCUAACGUAGUAGCUCCCUAACUUCCAAGUUAAAAUUUUUAGAGAAAGCUUUAAAUAUCAUUUCUGUAGUUUCGCACUUUCUCACUUUAGUACCCAGCAAUUUAAAGUGUAUUAAUUUAGCAUUCUAUGAUUUUAUUUUUAUCUUUUUAUUAUCGAUUCUACUAAUUUUUUUCGUUAAAUCAGUGACAAAGUUAAAACUAAAGGGUACUAAAGUGAAUAUUCGAUAUAUAUCUGAAGUUUUUUAUAUAUAAUUUAACGAAAUAUUAACGAAAAAGCUGACGAAAAGAUAAAAAUGAAACCACAUGAUACUAGCUUGAUACAAUUGAAGCCACAAGGUACUAAACUGAGAACGUGCGAAAUCACAGGAGUGGUAUUUGAAGUUUAUCCUAAAAUUUUAAUUUGGAGUGCAUAGGAUAUAUCACAAACUAAUUAUAUAUCCCUGAAGGACCUAAAUAGGAGUAAUCAGGAGUAAUAUAGAAUACUAAAAGACCUAAUCAGGAGUAAUAUAAUAAUUUUAUAUUAAAAUAAUACUUUGUAAGAAAAAAUAUUUAUUCUGGUACUUACGUAUAGGGACGGCAAUCCAGCUAGUUGUUUCCGAUUCAGCUCAUGUUCGGCUCAAAAUAAGCUCGACAUCGAAUCACUCGUUUAGUAAACGAGCUGAAGUACGAGCUGAAAUUUUCAGUUUGUUUAAUAAACAAGCUGAACACGAGUUUGGGUCAGCUCACUGGCGUUCUCGAAUACAUAUAUUUUAUAUUUAUAUAUAUAAAUAAAUAAUUAUAUAUGUAUAUAAUAUAAACUUUUAUUAUUUGAUUUUUAGCCCAACUUAAAUAUAAAAUCAACUUAAUUAUAAAAUGGUUCAUUUAUAUAUAAAAUUUCAACAGUAUAACGGGUAAAAUUUUAUAAAUUUAUUUUCUAUAUAUAUUCUUUCAAAUUUUUUUAAAUUCUUAUUUAUAAGCUAGCUCGUACUCGGCUCGACAAUUUAACAACUUAGCUCGUGUUCGGCUCGUUUAUAUCCUACAACGUGAAGAUAUUUAUUUAAAUAUUAUUUUUUUUAUGUAAAAUUAGUGUGAUAAAAAAGAGUUUGUCGCCUAGUAUAGUAGGAAAGUGAAGUUGAAAAGACAUAUUUGAAUUUUAAAAUUUUCCAGCAAACAAACAGGAACAAAAAAAAGAAAAAAUAAACAAAAAAAAAAAUUUCCACGGAUAUUUUAUGAUAAGAUAAGAUGCUUAUCCUAGUUCGAAAGAUUUUCAAAGCGCAAUAAGAACUUUUCCCGCCUUAUGCGGAUAAUAAUAAUUCCCAAUCUCCAAAUUGUCCGCAUAAACGCCCUUCCGCAUAAGCAUCUAUUCCUCCUCAUCCGCAUAAAUCGCCCCGCACCGAAACCUCUAUGCGCCUGUCCUAGAGAAAAAAAAAAAAAAGAGAAAGAAAACGUGAUUCGAAUGGAAGCAGCGUCGUUCGUGGGCACCGUGUCCAAUUUCGAAAUGUUCGGGGGCAAUUUCGUCAUUUCAUAAAUUCCUGUUCCGGAUAACCCACCGGCUAUCGCCGGUUACCGUACUAUUCACCCCUUCUUAUACGAACCGCCUCCGCCGUGUUUAUCCCCUCUCUUCAAUCUUCAUCUCAUCGUCUUCUUUAGUAGGGGGGGAGCAUUUGGAAUAAGCUAUUCCGCUUUAUUAUCCCCCGAAUAAAUUCCUUUUAUUCUCCUGUUCUUAUUAUUCAAUCUCAGUAAUAAGAGAGAGAGAGAGAGAGAGAGAGAGAGAGAGAGAGAGAGAGUAGGGACGUGGUUUCGUGGCCUAUAUGAACGCGGCUUUCUCCUUCCUCCUCCGACUCUGCAACACCCAUCGAUAACCCUAACCCUAGCCCGAGGUUCGGGGAGGAGGAGAUAAGAGGAGGAGGAGGAGGAGGGGGGGUGGGGGAGAUGCCCUCGCUCUCGUGCGCGAACCUCCUCGACCUCGUCGCAGCGGCCGACGCCGAGCUCGCGUCCCCCGGGCGCGGCCCCGCGCGGCUCCCGCGCGUGAUGACCCUCCCCGGCGUGAUCGCCGCGGAGGCCGAGGCGGAGGCGGAGGCGGAGGCGCCGCAGUCGCCGGCGCCGGGGCCGGCGCGGCGCAUCGUGGUGGCGCACCGGCUCCCGCUGCGGUGCGCCCCCGACCCCUCGGCGGGGCCGAUCGGGUUCGCCUUCUCCCUCGACCCCGACGCGCUGGCGCUGCAGCUCCGCUCGGGGCUCCCGCACCCCGUCGUCCACGUCGGGGCCCUCCCCGCGGCGGCGGCGGCGGCGGCGGCCUCGGCCGGCGGCGGCGAGGUGGAGGAGCUGGCGCAGAUGCUCCUGGCGCGGUUCUCGUGCGUGCCCGUGCUCCUCCCCCCGGAGCUCCACCACCGCUUCUACCACGGGUUCUGCAAGCACUACCUGUGGCCGGUUCUGCACUACCUGCUGCCGCUGACCCCUUCGUCCCUGGGGGGCCUCCCCUUCGACCGCGCCCUCUACCGCUCCUUCCUCUCGGCGAACAAGCUGUUCGCGGACCGCGUGACGGAGGUGCUGAACCCGGACGACGACUACGUGUGGAUCCACGACUACCACCUCCUGGCCCUCCCGACCUUCCUCCGCAAGCGGUCCCCGCGCGUGAAGCUAGGGUUCUUCCUCCACUCCCCCUUCCCCUCCUCCGAGAUCUUCCGCACCAUCCCCGUCCGCGACGACCUCCUCCGCGCGCUGCUCAACGCCGACCUCGUCGGCUUCCACACCUUCGACUACGCCCGCCAUUUCCUCUCCUGCUGCAGCCGCAUGCUCGGCCUCACCUACGAGUCCAAGCGGGGCUACCUCGGCAUCGAGUACUACGGCCGCACCGUCACCGUCAAGAUCCUCCCCGUCGGCGUCGACAUGGCCCAGCUCCGCUCCGUCGUCGCCGCGCCCGAGACCCUCGCCAGGCUCCGCGACCUCUCCCUCGCCUUCAAGGACCGCGUCCUCCUCCUCGGGGUCGACGACGUCGACCUCUUCAAGGGCAUCGGCCUCAAGUUCCUCGCCAUGGAGCAGCUCCUCGAGGAGCGCCCCGAGCUCCGCGGCCGCGCCGUGCUCGUCCAGAUCGCCAACCCGGCGCGCAGCCACGGGCGCGACGUCGAGGGGGUGGUCGACGAGGCCCGCUCCAUCACCCGCCGCAUCAACGCCCGCUUCGGCCGCCCCGGCUACGACCCCAUCGUCCUCGUCGACCGCCCCGUGUCGACCUUCGAGAAGGCCGCCUACUACGCCGCCGCCGAGUGCGUCGUCGUCAACGCCGUCCGCGACGGCCUCAACCGCAUCCCCUACAUCUACACCGUCUGCCGCGAGCUGCUCGCCCCCGCCCGCCGGAGCGUGAUCGUCGUCUCGGAGUUCAUCGGCUGCUCGCCCUCGCUCAGCGGCGCCGUCCGGGUCAACCCCUGGAACGUCGACGCCGUCGCCGAGGCCAUGAACUCCGCCGUCGCCAUGCCCGACCCCGAGAAGCAGCUGCGCCACGAGAAGCACUACAAGUACGUGAGCUCCCACGGCGUCGACUACUGGGCGCGCUCCUUCGACCUCGACCUGCAGCGCGCCUGCCGCGACCACUUCCUCCGCCGCUGCUGGGGGAUCGGCUUCGGCAUGAGCUUCCGCGUCGUCGCCCUCGGCCCCAACUUCCGCAAGCUCUCCGUCGAGCACAUCGUUGCCGCCUACCGCAGGACCGCCAGCAGGCUCGUAUUGCUCGACUACGACGGCACCAUGACGCCGCACAGCUCCAUCAACAAGACGCCGAGCGCCGAGGUCAUCGCCGUCCUCAACGCCCUCUGCGCCGAUCCCAAGAACGUGGUUUUCGUCGUCAGCGGGCGCGCCAAGGAUGAGCUGAGCAAGUGGUUCCAGCCGUGCGAGAGAUUGGGGAUUUCCGCCGAGCACGGCUACUUCACCAGGUAGUCAAACAAACGAUCUUCACCUUCUUUAAUCGAGUGCAUUUUAGUACAAUGUUAUUGUUAUCUUGUUCAUUGUCGCCGAAUAAACUAAAAGAUGACUAGAAUUUGAUGAGAGCUUCGUGGCCAAUGCUGUGGCCAAUGCUGAGAACAGAGAAUCAGGAAACUCCCUGAUCAAGCCAUUGCCAAUCCAUUCACGUAACCGCGUAGAUGUUAUAUAUACUGCAUUAUAACUCUUUGUAAUUGGAAAGGAAAAUGCAAUGAGUUAGAAUGCAUGUGUUUUUGGAUCAGGACGGUUCCUGCGACGAGCAUUGAUGAAUGAAUGCACGGGAACUUGGUUGUCGUUGCAGAUCAUCGCGUUUUCUGAGGUUUAUUUGUGUUCUCACGAAUGCCGCUGUUGAUUUGCUGCUGCAGGUGGAGCCGCGACUCUCCGUGGGAGUCGUGCAACUUGACGGUGGACUUCGAUUGGAAAAAGAUCGCCGAACCCGUAAUGCGCCUUUACACAGAGGCGACUGACGGAUCCUACAUUGAGCGCAAGGAGAGCGCGUUGGUGUGGCAUCAUCAGGAGGCCGACCCGGAUUUCGGAUCGUGCCAGGGGAAAGAACUCCUCGAUCACUUGAAGAGCGUCCUCGCAAACGAGCCCGUCGUCGUGAAAAGGGGCCACCAUAUUGUAGAAGUUAACCCUCAGGUAAAUUUCCUUUCUAAAAGAAGGAAUUGAGUAUCAUUUUUAGCCGACGUUUAGUAUCAUAAGGACCCCAGUCUAAAUUAGAUCAAGUAAACAUACUUUUGAAACUAUGGGGCCAUAGAUUGUGAUAGACUUGUGGAUAACGUUUCUUCCACCUCACAUCCGGCUAUCCUAUCUCUCAAGCACGUAUUGCAAUAUAUAUAAUAUAAUAAUCGUCGUUAACACAAUUGUAAACUUAGUAUCUGUUCGGCCUCGCUUCUGAAAAAAUAUAUAUAUUUUUUAAAUUUUUUUUUGAAAAGGACCUUUUGGAAAACAAGUAGGUUAGAGUUUUUACUGUGUUGGAGAGGCCAAAAUGAACUGGGCUUUGGCUUCUGCUGCAGCGAGAAGCUUUGAGUAACUUUUAUACCAGCUUUUUCUUCAAACUGACCUACUCAAAGUUGCGUAAUUUUUUCUCUUCCUUGAAUUAUCCUUAGUAGGUUUCUGCAUUGAACUGUUAAUGAUGCUUAAAUAUGUUGUGGUUUAUGUGUGCAGGGAAUAAGCAAAGGAGUUGUGGUGGAAAAUCUCAUUUCGACCAUGGUGAGCAGAGGGAAAUCACCCGAUUUCAUAUUAUGCGUCGGGGACGACCGAUCUGACGAAGACAUGUUCGAGAGCAUCAUAAAUUCCACGAAUAACCCUUCGUUGCCAGCGAUCGCAGACGUCUUCGCUUGCACCGUCGGCAACAAACCGAGCAUGGCGAAGUAUUAUCUCGACGAUACCGUCGAUGUUGUGAAAAUGCUUCAAGGUCUAGCCAAUGCAUCGGCCCAGCUACCUAGACCGUCGGAGCGGCAGGUCUCGUUCGAAGGUUUGGUUUAAACUUCAAAUGAAAAAAAAAAAAUUACACGCGCUUUCGCCUACUUCGAUACGAGAAUGACAAGUUUGGUUGGAAAUUAAUGACCGAUAUAAACUCGAACCAGCUAUGCUAACCGGAAAAAAAAAAAAAAAAAGAUCAAAAAGGUGGUGGUGAAAAAGAAAUAAAAGGUUCAAAAUAUACCAAAUUUUAUCCUUCUUUUCGCUGUGUACAUAUAUAAGAAAAACUCUUCUUUGUUCAUGUAGAUGACUAUGACGACGACAACAGUUUAUAUGAUUUCAUCCAUUUGUUUUCAUAAUUUUCUCCUGUAUAAUGUCGAAUUCUUUCUCGUUGCAUAAUUCUUAUAGCAUGGGUUGUGAUAGAUGCGUCGAUUUCCGAUUAUUCAAUAAUGAAAUCUCCGCUCGUCGAAUCGAUUCGGGGAACUUUCCUUUUCUUUAGGAUGAUGACAUGGUCUCAAAAGACCGUUUCUUUUGACACUUACCGGUUGUAUGCUGUUGUAUUUUCCUUGUGGUUUUCAAAGUGAGAUUGAUGUUAACAUUUAACAUGUUGUUGGGCGUGUUUGAAUAGGAACUGAGGUGGAAUUGAAGAUGACUCUGAAAAGGACCUUUUAUGUAGUAAUUUUAUAUCCUUUUUAGCUUAUCUUUGUAAUAUUCUAUGCUAAAAAGAGGGAUUGAAUUGUUGUUAAUUUUAUGGUUUGGUCAAAAAUAUAUAAUAUUAAGAGAAGCUUGUGAGAGUGAGAUUUUUGCAUAAAUUUUGAAGCAUUUGAAAGGUGUUCUCUUUUACCUGUUUGCUGCUGCUUCUGCUUCUGCUUCUGCUUCUUCUUCUGCUUUUAGCAGUAGUAUAGAGCGUUUUAUCGAGAGAGCAAUUAGGAGAUUCUGCUGCAUUGGAAAGCAAAUUUGGAUUUCCGAAUUCCAAAAUUGAAAGUUUUAGGUUUAGUUUGGUAUUGAGAUCUAUCUGACGCUAUUAAAUAAAAUAGAAUUGUGAUAAAAAUAUAAAGGAAUAUGUUUCUGCAUUCUUCAGUGAAAUCGCAAAAAAUAUAUCGUAAUCGACUCAUCGCAAUAUGCGAAACGUUAAUACAAUUUUCAUUGCGAAAAAUACUUUCUUAGAAAGCACGCUGCCACUUUGUUUAUUUUAUUUAGAAAUUAGAAAUAAACUUAGCUGGAAAUGUAAAUCAACUAGAAUUCGAAUUUGAGAUAUCGAAUAUCAACCAUCAAAUUCUUUGUCACUUGUUCUAGAAGUUACUCGUAAAAAUGGCUAGUCUAAUAGUAGAGAGAAAGCGGGUCGGAGGAGGGGGUGACGUGUCGGUAAUCAGAGCCGUUCGUUUGCUGCCGACGUGGACUCGAGACCUUUCGUUGCGAUGGUGAUGGUAAAUGACUCCUUUCGGGGAACUUGGAUGCGAGACGUUCCCGUGCCGUGCAUUGAAUUGCUUGCAUCUCAUGAUGCAAUAUAUACACAAAUACAAAUACAAAUUACAUGAAAAAAAAAGAAAAAGGAAAAAAGAAAAAAAAAAGAAGCUAAAAUUGCAAAGAGUGUAUCCAAAAUUACAAGGCAUUAUUAGCUAGGUAUGUAGAAUUUUUCCGCGCACGGAUUCGUCCUCGUGGCAAAGUUAAGUUCUCUCGUGCUCAUUAAAAAUCUUGCAUGUAUGAUUGUAGCAAGCGAACUACUCUCUAUCUUUUAUUGAAAGUGAACUACAGCGAAUUAUUCUAUCUCUAUCUUUUAUCGAAUCCUAUGUUUGAACUACCCUUUCUUUUAUAGAAUCUUGUAUUUAAACUCGUUGGUUCAAAACAUCGGUUUAAAAUGCUUAAUUAAUACCCAUCUUACGUUCAUGAACAAUCUUGCACAGAGGAUUGUAGCUAGCAAACUACUCUAUUUUUUAUUGAAACAGAAGUACUACUACAACGAAUUACUUUAUCUCUAUCUUAUUUUGAAUCUAAUGUUUGUACUACUUUUAUCUUUUUUCGAACCCUAUGUGUUAACUCGUAGGUCCAAAAUAUUGGACCAGAAUACUUAAGUUCAAUUAUUAUUACUAUAGUAUAUAUAUAGUAAACCUUAUAUUAACUUGUUAGGUCCAGACUGCCGGUUCAAAAUAUUUAAGUUUAAUUAUUAUUACUAGAGUUCAUGAUAUUUUAUUGGAGCAUCAUAGCGAUGCAGAGAGACAAAAGUGUAGUGAACAAUCGGGAUUUCACAAAAUUAAGGCAUCAAAAUGCAAAAUUUUACCAUUCAAGUUCUUCUUCUUUGCUUGCAAAUAUCCCAUAAUAUCCCAUUAUUAGAGUGAUCUCUUCACGUUUUCUUUUUCUUUGUAAAGGAAAAUGCUUCUUUUCCUUCUUACUCUUUGUCAAAGUAAUUAUAAUGUUAGGUUCUCCUAAAUCUUUUAUUAAGCGUUUCGAUCAUGUUCUCUUACUCAUUGGAUGAUUGACACUUUGAGAGUGAUUAAACUAAACUCUUUUACAUUUAUAAUUACAUUUUUGUCUACAUUAUUGGAAUGAUUGUAUAAACGUGUGGGAGUUAAACUCUCUACGUAUAGUUUAAUUCUCUCUCUUAUAAAUUCCAUAUUUGACCGAGAGAGAGAGAGAGAGAGAGAGAGAGAGAGAGAGAGAGAGAGAGAGAGAGAGAGUGUGAGUUUGAAAUGGAAGAUAAAAUUAAAACUCGUGGAAAAGAAGCGUAGGAGACCAUCCUACACUUGGGAGAGGAAAAGUUGAUAAGAAAGUGUGGUUGUAAUUUUCUAGAGGCGACAAAUUGAAAGAUCACAAAUAUAAAAGAUAAGGAGAACUGUUCAUUAUUUGAAAUACCAAAACACCUUAGCAUAAGUAGAUAAGAUAUUUAACUAGAGGCGGUAAGUUUCGAGUUGAAAUUUGGAUUUGGACCAUGAUGGGGGAAAGAAAAAAAAAACCUCGGAUUUAGAUUUUCUUGAUGAAAUUCUCUCGGAAUUUUUUUAUUUUUAAUUUUAAGUUAAGAUAUUUUUGUCAAAUAAAACAAAAUUUUUAUUAGAAUUAAUAGCAUCAUUAGCUAGUGAUGAAUCACUAAUAAUUAAGAAAAUCAAAAACAAAAAAAAAAAGUUGAGCCAUAUCAAAAGAGCCCAUUUCAAUAAUGACCUACUUAUAUUCGUGGGAUCUCCAUACAAUUUUAUAAAAGAAGGAUAAAAAAUGAAGAAAACUUAUCCCAACUAUGGAACAUUUUGAUUGCCUACCCUUUUUCUCAAAAUGAAUUUGAGUCGAUCAACAACACUUUGAUUUCAAAAUUUCAAUGCGCUGUUUAUUUUUACAGAUUUAGUUAAUAUAUAUAACACAAUUCUUACAACUAUAAAUUUAUUAAGAAAGCAAUUAGCUUAAAUUAAAAGGUUGUAUAGUAAAAUUAAAAUUUUAAAAAUUUGGAUAGUUAAUUUAAAAUGAUCCAUAGUUAAGAUAAGUUCACCUAAAAGAAAAAAUAAAAAUAUUAGUGGGCUUUGGAAUAUGCAGUUAUAUUCCUUAGACUUAUCAACAACAACCGAAUAAAACUUUUCUAAAUUCUAACCUGACACGACUAAAUCUGCUUACAGUUUAGGAAACAUUCAAAGAAAAAAAAAAAAAUCACACAAAAGUCAAGUAUUUAUUUUUCUACGAUUUUUAUGUUUUCGGCGGCUCAAUAAUGAUUUUUCUAAUCGACCAUGAUUAAGUCUCCUAAUUAUUUAGGCAAAAUUCGAAGUAGAUUUUUUGCAACCCCCAAAAAAAGUCAAACAUUAAAAUAAUUUUUUUUUCCAUAUUUUUAUAAUCUGAAUUUGCAUGAGCACGUGAGUUAUUAUAUGUUAGUUGUCAGGAGAAGUAAUGGUGUAUCCUGCAUUAUUGGAGGGGACCCUUUUUUUUUUUUUUGUCUUGUUUUAAUUGUGGUUUUGUAGGCACUAAAAAUUUUGUGCACUGGACGAUCUGCCGCUCAUUAGCAAUAAAUUGCAUAUAAAUUAUUCCAUAUAGAUGAAGAUCCCUCAUCAAUCGCGAACAGCAUGUAAACCAUCUGAGACGGACAAUUUGAAUUUAACUUGCUACAGAUGAGCGACAGAAUCGCCCGGUGCAUAACAAUUUUUGUAGAGUUGCACUAAGUAUCACCCAAUUGUUAUAUAAAAAUUGGUUUUGAUUAAUUGCAAUGCUGUAGUAAGAACAUUUUAAUGAUUAUGUAAUUUUAAUGAUUGUUAUAUAAAUUUUGAUCCUAACCAAAAUUACCAAAAAAGAUAAAAAAGGGUUUCCUCUUGAACUCCUAGUGAGUUUCUCAAGCCUUUCUCAUCAAGCAUAUUCCCACAAAGUUAUUACAUGGAAAUUGCGAGAUCAUAAACAUCCUAGUUUCUUGGUACCACCUUAUAAUUAGUGAGGAACAUCACAACAAUGAAAUUGAUAGAAAUUCUAUGAAUAAUGAGUUAGUCAACAUAUUGAGCAUCAUAUGUGAAUAAUCCUUGCUGGAUUGGAGCAAGAAUAAAAAAUUCACAAAAAUAAUAUUUACAAUUGCCAAAAUCUAGUGUAAACUCAUUGAUCUCAAAACACUCUUUCCUUUUUCAAAAAUGCAGUAAAGCAAUAGGGGAGAGAGAGAGAGAGAGAGAGAGAGAGAGAGAGAGAGAGAGAACUAAGAUAAUAGAUAAAAUCUGUUUUAUCCGAGUCCUGGAGCACCAUCAUGUGGAAAUCCAUCUUUUGUUUCUGCAAGGAGAGAAAUGGCAUAAGAUGGCUCAGAAGACUGGAAAUGUUUAAUAAGAAGGAAUUGAUUAGCUUUGUCCAAGCAAAGGUAAACGAUGGAAAUGUGCAUUAGAAAGAGUAGUGAAAACCAAAUUUGCACGCACAAGCACCAAAUAAGAGUAGCGAAGGAACGAAAUCAAGUCACAAUGGCAUGAAUAACAUUAGCCAUUAGAUACUGUCAGCGCGUGUUCGUUGCAGAAGACGACCUUUUCAAAACUGAGGAGGCUAAAGAUAUUACUCAAAUAACUGAAACCACAUAUGCAGAAUGUGUUGAAGAGGUCAGCAAAUGCGGUUUUGCAAAUAGGGCAUAUCUUGUCUAGGCAAAAUUUUGGAUAAUUGAAUAUUAUAGCUGACAGAAGUAUUCACGAGGCCUAGCAGCCGACAAAAAGCGAAGAGCAUGUGAUCAGCCAAAUCUUGAUCAAUUCUGAUCGAGCUAAAUAUUCAAGGAUGUUUCACAUCAAUCAAAAUUUCAACAUCUUAUGCUAGCCUUUCAGUUGCAUUAGCUACCUUGGCUGGGUUCCUGACAGGGAGAAUAAGUUUCAAGCUCACUGCAUCGCAACUCAGUCCAAUAAAAUAUUAAAUGAAUAUAUGCUAUGGUAUGUAUGCUAUUGAAUAUAUACUAGUGUGUAUGAUAUACACAACGCGUACACGGUAUAUAUACUAUUAAAAAACUCAUUAUAUAUUACUAUAGUACUAUACAUAACAUGCGCUGUAGGAAAACAGCAUGCAGAGCCCUUUCCCAAGCAGGCAAGAUUGCCGACACACACUGUAUAUUAUAUAAACAGUAUAAUCUACAUGCUAUAUACUUUAUAAUACAUUAUAAAACAUAGUGUGUGUGUGUAUUAACUACUAGUCUACUACAUAUACUAUAGUAUAUACAUACUAUACUAUACUAUAUAUAAAACUAUAUGGCAUAUUAUAUAGUACAGCAUACUAUAUCAUACCAUGUAAGAUACAACAGUAUACUGUUAUAAAUACUACACACUAUAGAUGCUAUUAUAUAUAGUGGUAUGCUAUUAUAUAUACAGUACUAGACUAUAAUAGUACUAUAGUAGUAUACAUAGUGAUAAACUGUAGUACAAUAGUGCUAUAGUGUACUAACUAUUAUUGUAUAGUGUAGAAUUAUAGUAUAUAUACACUAUAGUUCUUUAUUAUAGUAUACAUAGUAAUAAGAAUAUAUACUAUAUGAGUAUAUACAAUAUAACUGUAAUUUUUCUUUGUAUAGUAUACUAUACUAUAUAGUAUAUGAUAGAACUAUUAUACAUAUAGCAAUACGCUUAACACAUGCAAGUUGAACGUUUGUUUUCAGGGAGCUGACAGAAGGAAAAGAGGCUCCUAGUACAUUUCGCUAUAGUAUAAUGUACUAUAGUGAUAAAAUUAUACAAUAAUAUAAGUCCUAUAAUAUACUAUAUUACUAUAGUACUGUACUAUAGUACGAUAGUGCUAUAAUGAACUAUUGUAUAUAUAGUAUGUUCUAUAUUAUAGUAUAUAUAGCAAUAGAAUAAUACUAUUUUAUAUAUAGUAUGUGAGUCCGGCUGGGAUACUAUCGAUAGCACCAAGAAUUUGGUGCUAUCGAAUUUUCCACCGUUAGAUUUAAACCUUUGAUUAUUUUUACCCGUUAGAUUAUACUAUUCAACCAACUACCCACUCAACCCUAGGGGGCCCACAUCAUCCUAACGGCACAUUUUUCAAUCUAAGGGCUAAAAAAUUAAUAGCACCAAUAACUUGGUGCUAUUGAUAGUAUUCCAGCCUAGUUCAUAAUAUGUUCUGUACAAAAUAUACUAUAUAAUACACAUAAUAGAGUAUGUACAUUCUAUAGUACUACAGUAUAUCAAUAUAUUACAAUAGUACUACAGUGCUAAAAUGCUAAUGUGCUAUAGUAUAAUAGUGCUGUAAUACUGUAGUGCUAUAUAGCACUAUAUAAGUCAUUUCUAUAGUACAGUGUGUAUCACUUCAGUAUAAAAGAACUACAGUGAUAAAGUGCUGUAGUAUGAAACAGCUAUAAUGUACAGUAAUAUAAAGUACUAUAAUAUAAUAGUUCUAUAAUGUACUAUUAAGUAUAUCAUAGAACUGAUAGUAUAUAUUGUAAUAGCAUAUAUAAUAUAUACUUAGUACAUAUACUAUAGAAUAUAUACUACAUAUAGAAGCAUAGUAUACAUAACAUAGUACUCUAUUACUUUAUUAGCAUACUAUGGAAUAUAUAGUAUACAAAGAACUAUAUUUAGUGCAUACAUAUUAAUAGAACUAUUUGUACAUAUACAAUAGUAUAAUGUACAAUAGUAAUAUAGCACUGUAGUAUAAUAGUCCUACAGUAUAAGGCCCUAUUUGGAUACUCUAUAAAACGUAGCAUAGUCAACUAUGCUAUACCAUAGGAAAAUUAUCCUACGAAGUGUUUGGGAGGCUCAAUAGAGCAACUAUUUUUUGAAGUAUAGUUAAAACUAUGGCACAUAAUGGAGUAAAAUAAUAAUUCACUCCAAGCAAAAGAAAAAAAGUCCAUUUAAACUAAAAAAUUUCAAAUUAUAGUAUUACUAUAGUAUAGAACUAUUGUAUGUAUACUAUAAUAUAAUGUAUUAUCGCAAUAUAAUACUAUACUAUAAUAGUUCUACAGUACAAUAGUGCUAUAAUACUAUAGCACUAUAUUAUUUAUACUAUAGAAUAUAUAAUUUGAAAUUUUACUAACAGUACUACAUUAGUAUAUCAACUAUAAAAUUCGUAUAACUAUAAUGUACUACAUAGCAUACAAUGCAAUAUUAUAUCUACUAUAAAUUCCANGCAAUAUAAUACUAUACUAUAAUAGUUCUACAGUACAAUAGUGCUAUAAUACUAUAGCACUAUAUUAUUUAUACUAUAGAAUAUAUAAUAUAUACAGAACUAUAUUGAAUAUAUGUAUAGUUCACAUUCAGCACUAAUGAGGUAUGUAUAACUAUAAUGCAGUAGUAUAUAUAUUAUUAUAUAUUCUAUAGUACAAUACUAUAGCAUAAUAUAAUACAUAGUAUACUAUAGCAUAUUGUUGUAAAUACUAACAGUACUACAUUAGUAUAUCAACUAUAAAAUUCGUAUAACUAUAAUGUACUACAUAGCAUACAAUGCAAUAUUAUAUCUACUAUAAAUUCCAUAUUACUAUAUUCUAUGUAGUAUGCUAUAUAAGUAAAUAUAGUUUACAUCUAUACUAUAGUAUACAGUGCAAAGAAUGUAAAUUAUAGUACACUACAACAAAGUAUGCCUUAUACUACAGUAUAUACACUAAAGUUAAUGUAUAUAAUACGUGCUACUAUAUAGUAUAAUAUAUAGAUAAUAAUAGUGUUAUAGUAAUACAUACGGACUGUUCGAACUUCGUAUUUUGGAGGAAACUUUUUUUUUUUGAGAGGAAAGCCCGUAAACAAAUGUUAUUAAAUAUUGACAGCAUACAUGUGGCAAAAGAAUCACUCAAAAGUGGAGUGGUAACGUUGCAUGGCUCCAUUAACCCAACAUAACUGAAAGAGGAAAUAAAGAAAAAGGAGCCAAGAGCCGGAACACAACAGUCUAAACAGCAAGCUUUGGAGAAGAUGGGCACCAAACCCAGAGAAAGAGUGGAAAGCAACCACGAGAAAGAAAAAGAAAGAAAUAACAAGCUGAAAGCCAAACCUAAAACACUUGAAGAGCACUCAAACAAAGUUACCAAGCUAGCCGAACACAUGACCAUUGACCAGCUAUACGUGAUUCAUGUUAAAACAGAAACAAACAAAACUUUGAAUAAACUGGUACAACUGGUUUCGAGAACACACGAAACAGAGCUAUCUGCUUGACAGAAGAGAAUGCACAUGAGUCGCCACCAGAACAAGGGAAUAGAAAGUUUCAUGCACACAUGUUUGGACUAAAACAAAUAUGUUGAAUAAAGUAUGCAUGAAUGCCAAGUGUUGUUGCCCCACCUCCAAGCUUCACACCGGCAGACGUCAUCGGAGAAAGUCACUUAUUGUCACAUAGAUCAGUCAGUCAUCAGAGACAUCAAAAGCUCUGUCAAACAUUUCCAAACUGAUGGGAAGUCAAUCAAUGGCCACCGACUAAGCUUUCUCGAGAGUCUAUGCGACAUGAGAAACCUCGUACAGGCCCCGAAAACCCUGUAACAUAGUUCUCCAAAACAUAUGUACAGUAGUACGAAGAAAAAGGCAAGAUGAUAGAGGAUAGAGAGGAGAUGAUGGAGGAAAGAGAACAAAGAUGAGUAGAGAGAAGGGAGAUGGAAGAAAAAUAGGUAGUGAGAGAAGAAGUGUAAGCUGGGGAAGAGGGAGUAGGGAGCGCUCGUUUCAGUUCCCCUCCAUGGGAGCAUUGGGAGGGGGGUUAGAGCUCCCUCGUUGCGAGAACACAACUAUUGCACUAUGUAUGACCAAUCUCCUGAGUUAAUUCUCACUUGGUAUUUUGCACUUUGCAAUUUCAGAUUGAUAAAACCUCCGAUGGUUUAAUUUAACAACGCAAAGGUUAAGAAGCAUGUCAGAACUGAUGGAAUUUCAUUUUCCCUCCAUAUUUCAUACUUAGGAAAGUUUACGGAAAGGCCAACUUCGUACAGAAGAAAUAAACAGAAACAGAGAUAAAAAAAAAUUCUUGGAACUAAUAGCUAAUGAAAUGGCAGCGAUGUAACAUAAACACAUAUAGCAUGUACCAGCCAAGUAUUAGUAAACUUCCAAACUACACAUGCAAACUUAGAGGUAUCCUUCAUCUCCUAUUGAGCUAUGUUGCAGAAGCAAAUUAAAGCAUUCAUUUUCCUAAACCAAACAAAAUAAAUUAAGGCUUAUGCUAACAUAUCCUUAGAAAAAGAUGAGGAACUCUGUAACAGUACACUCCUAAAAAGCUAAUUUUUGUUUUAGCCACACCCAGAUUAAUUCCCUAAGCUACAAAAUCAACCAAAAAUGCAAAAUCCAGAAUCAAUUCGAAAAAGAAAAGGAAUCCUAAUGCCAUCCAUUAACAUAAAAGGUAAAAAUGUAUCCAUUAACAUAAAAGGUAAAAAUGUAUGGACACCGCGCAACUAUGGAUCAUUUUAAAAUGAUGGCUAAAUGUUAACUCUUUUAAUAAUUGAUACCUCUUCAAGUUUUGUUUGUUUUCGUUCCAGUUAUUUGCAUCAUGUGAAAUUGGGAAUUGGAGACAUUGAUUAAAAUAAAUGGCACUAUUUAAAAAACUCUAAAAUUUUCAUCCACUAAAAGGUGGCAAAAGCCGUUAAAUUCAACAAAAUUACCGUCAAAUUUGAUGAAACUCCCAGUUCAUAUAAUGGAAAAUAACUCAAUCAAAACAAAAGGAAAAGUUAGACUUAACGAUUAGGAAUCUAUUUAAUAUAGCCUACAGUUUGAGGUGGUCUUUACACAUUUUUUCAACAAAAUACUACUACAAAAUCCGAACAAAUUGCCAAAUUGCAUGACAUGGAAAAAUUCAUAAAAAAAAACGUCGGAAACAAUCUAGUAGUCCUAAAUUAUGCACCAAAACCAAUUUUUUAUAACAAAAUCAGCACAAAAUAAGCAAAAUUGGUCCAAUUCUUAGCGUUUCACCAGUGUAUAAAUCGCAUUACCUAACCAGAUCCAACGAUAAUGUUGUUGAUGGGGAUAAAGAUGAGCUUCACGAAGAACCCUACGAAUCCCAUCACCACGAAUUCGACAGCGGUGCGAACAGCGACCUUGGCGAACUCUACAGUGAAAAACCGAUCAAAAAUAUCAAAAUGAACACGAAACGAAGCACUAAAACCCUAAUUAAAGGCUCGAGUCGAACGGGGAUUCGGAAUCGAAGUAGCUUACCUUUGCGAUCGGGUUUGUGGCACCUCUUCACGAGGCGACCGCUAUCCUUGGCGAACUCCCUCAAUGGAUCGACCACCGAAUCCAACGCAUCCCAUGGAUGGGGUGAGAUCGAAGGAUCGAAACCCUAAUAGAGAUUGGGGAUUUUGGGGAAACCGCGAGGAGUAGAGGAGAGUCGAGAGAUGAGAACGGAGUAGUAAAAAGGAGCAACGAGAGAAGGUAAAAAAACUGAGAACCCCCUACAAGUUACUUUAUUAACCAAAACACUCCCAAGUCCCAACUAUUAAACGUAAAGUGUAGAGAAACCCCCCCAACUACAAUUUUUUAAAAACAUAUCCAAAACUAGACGAUAAUUUUAAGCAAUUAAAAAAUUAGAUUUUUGUGAAACCUGAUGGUGAUUCUAUUAUAAAUUUAAGGGUAAACUUCAAAUACCCCCUUGUGGUUUCACACUUUCUCACUUUAGUACCCUGUGGUUUAAAGUGUAUCAAGUUAGCCCCCGUGGUUUCGCACUUUCUCACUCCAGUACCUUGUGAUUUAAAGUGUAUCAAGUUAUAACCUGUUGUUUCAUUUUUCCCUUUUUAUAAUUGAUUUUACCUUUUUUUUUCGUUAAAUCAGUGACAAACUUAAAAUUAAAGGGUACGAAAGUGAAUAUUCAAUAAACCUAGGUAGGGCAUCUGAAGUUUUUUUUGUAUAUAAUUUAAUGAAAUAAUAACGGAGGAAAAAAAAUCAGUGACAAAGCUAAAACUAAAGGGUAUUAAAGUAAAUAUUCAAUAAAACUAGGUAUGGUAUUUGAAAUUUUUUGUACAUAAUUUAACGAAAUAUUAACAGAGGAGCCGACGAAAAGAAAAAAAUAAAACCACAUGAUACUAAAUUGAUGCACUUUAAAUCACAGAGUACUAAAGUAAGAAAGUGCGAAACCACAGUGUACUAAAUUGAUACACUUUAAACCACAGAGUACUAAAGUGAAAAAGUGCGAAACCACAAGGGUGGUAUUUGAAGUUUUUCCUUUUUUUUAUUAUUAUUGUCACCUUAGUAGGGACAUUACCUUCUAAUACAUUUAUGAAAUGAUUUGUGUCUUAUUCUUCUCAACAUUGUAUUUGGGGAAUUAAAGAUAGAUAACAAAUAAAAAAAAGAAAAAGAAAAAGAAAAAAAAAGAAUCCCUAAAUUCUAAGAUUCUCAAUACAUUGCAAUAAAUUCGUAUCGACUCAUUUGCUGUACAGAAUUUAAUUGGAAAGGAUAAUCCAAGAGAUUGGUAUUGCGAGAGAGUGAGAAAGAGUUAGUGUGAUCGAAGAUAAUUUUAUUUUAUUUUUUUCCAAAUCUAAUUGCAUCCAAUCCCAAUAUUUCAAAUCUGAUUUGAUAACAAAAGGAUGCUAAUUAAUGAAAGGAUUUAUGAGAUUAACUUAUUAUAAUGCAUCUUUUUCUCAGUGAGGUUAAUUACUGAGCAUCAUUCUUAGGGGUGUCAACGAGCUGAACACGAGCGGGCGGGGUCGGCUCCUGUUCGGCUCGUUUCAUAAACGAGCCGAAUACGAGCUGGCUCGUUAAAGUAUCGAGCCGAAUACAAGCUGGCUUAUGAAUAAGAAUUUAAAAGGAUUAGAAAAAAUAUAUAUAGGAAAUAAAUUUAUAAGAUCUUAUCCAUUAUAUUUUGAUCUAAUGAUCAAAAUUUUACAUGAAAUGAAUCAUUUUAUAAUUGAGUUGGACUUUAUAUUUAGGUUGGACUAAAAAUCAAGUAAUAAAAAUUUAUUUUAUAUACAUAUAUAAUUAUUAAUUUAUAUAUAUAAAUAUAAAAUAUAUGUAUUCGAGCUAUUAUCGAGCCGAACACAAGCGAGCUGACCCCAGUUCAUGUUCGGCUCGUUUAUUAAAUGAGCUAAAAAUUUCAGUUCAUGCUCAGCUCGUUUACUAAACGAGCGAUUCAAUCUCGAGCUUAUUUCGAGCCGAACACGACCUGGCUCGCGAACGAUGAGCUGGAUUGCCGCUCCUAAUCAUUCUAUAUGAUUGCCAUCACAGAGAUUUAAUACAAUUUUGGACAAAUUAAAAAAUUCUCAUAUAUAGUCAAGGGAACUGACCAUUUCUGAGCUUUUUUUUUUUUUCCCUUAUCUUAAUUAACAAUUUCUAGUGUAUACUUCAUAUUGAGUAAAAACAGAUCGUUCCUAACGCAAGUGGCAAAAGGGCUUGGUGGUUAGAUUGGUGGUUAGUACCUGAGACCCAAGUUCGAAUUCUAGUUGAUUCACAUUUUUAGCCAAAUUUAUUUCUAAAUGAAAUAAACGAAGCGGGUAGCAUGCUACCUUUCUCUCUCUCAAAAAAAAAAAAAAACAAAAAAAACAAAAACAUAAUGAAUAAAAACAAAGGCAUAUCAUUGAUGCAUACAAUUGUUGUUCACUAUUACAAACACCCCAAAAAGAGAGAGAAUUAAAAUGUUUCCCUAACCUUAGUUAGGCAAGUUGUUCAUCAACACUGGGAGUAUGAUCAUCAAUAACCCUUGUGUAUGUGAAGCUCCUUGCUACAUCAUUCUCCUUCUCUUGGCUCAUUUUGCACUCACAAUAAUACACACUAUAUACCAUGCAAGAGAACAUCUUCAACAACAUGUACACACAAAACAUAACCAAUCCAUUGCCUCUCUUGUUUACUACAUGAGAUCCCCCUCCAUUUGUUGUCUCAAAUAUGUAUCCCACAUUGAGAACACCAUCCCCUAAGAGAAAUACAAUAGCAAUGAGAUAGCCUUGCAUCCUUUUACCCUUUGUAACAUCUUUUGCCUUGUCUAAUGCCUCGAGUCCGUAGCAACCUUCUUCGACAAUCGAGAUCACCAAACCAACCAUCCACACCAUGGCUAAGUAUACGUAGAAAAGGCGAGCUGUGACCCCAAGAAGUGCGAAAAUCGCGAUCCGUAGGAUCGACCCGUCGGCCUUAAGCAAAGGAAUAGCUAUCAAGGAGAUUGAUAGAACACUAUAGCCAACAUAUAGUAGUGUGAAGUAGAAUUUUGUCACUAAUGGACCCUUCCAUGAUCCUUUGAUUCUCAACAACAAAUCCGUUGCCGUCAAUUGCUUCUUUGAAUAAGUUGUUGAGGAGGAAUACACGAUGAUCAUGAUUGAAAGCAGAGAUAGGAUGUAUGAGAAGACCAUGAAAAUUGUAUCGAAACGCAAUAAAGCUGCUGCCUCGUACUUUAUUCCGAGGAGUAGAUCAUAGAAUUGCGGAGUGUUGGGGUCCUUCUCACUAAGGAGGUGUAGCUUAAUGAAAAAGCUCAAAAGCAAAGGAUAUAUAGGAAUAUAGGAGUUACCUAUAAAGGAAAAGGUGCUUGUGAGGAAAGCCAAAAGCAUGGUUGGAAGCAUGAGCUUCUUGUUCCUUGUUGGGAGAUAAAGGGCUUCUCUAAGAAUUUCCGCAACACCGAAUUGCCUCGACGAAUCCAUGGGAGAUGGAGGCUCCUUAGACAUGGCUCUCUAAAGUGAUAAUCUCUUGAUCACAAUAUGAGAUGAUAUUUUUGUGUCUAAAGUGCUUGUUUAUAUGUAUAUAUUUAGCUUUGAUCUCUUCGCCUUGAAUAGGACAUAAUAACUAACUUUUUCCUCCAUUUUAUCUUAAUCUUUUUUUAAUAACAUAUGUGAUAUGGCGAGAACAACUAUAAUUUGAGAAUAAACAUAUUUUUAAGGACAAGUUACUACUAUUCCAACCUACCAAAAUACUAGUAUAUAUUUAGCUUAUAUCAAUAAAGUGGCUUGUAAAUUGGAAUUUUACAAACCUAAGAACACUAAUAUUCUCAUAUCAAUAAGAAAUACAGUGACACUCAAAUUGUUAGCUAGUUUUGAAUUUGGUGGUAUCUUAUUUUAUUCAUUUUUUUUUUCUUUUAGUCACUAACUCUUUUGCUUAGGUUGGAAAAUAAUUUCAUUAGUUGUUGCAAAUAAGCAUAUAUAAAAAUCUCCUUUUCUUUUUGUGGUGUGUAAGCAUGCUCUAGUGAUACUACAAUUUCUUGGUAAAUCAAUCUAAAACCUCUAGUACUCAAAAGUCAAAAAUACUAUCUACUUGUGUUCUCAUUAAUUAAAUAUCUGUGGAAUACCAAUUAUUGAUUAUGACAUAUUAUCAAGUAAAGAGGAAUUAUGGAUUCAAGUUUUUAGUUUUUUCCUUUUUUUUAAAAAAAAGGGAAAGUCAAACAGAAGCUUCAUGAAGCAAAAUAUCAGUAGGUCAUCAUCAUAUCAUUUAUCCUCUAUUAAUAUACAAUAUAUACUAACUAAAACAGACAAUUCAAAAUACCAUGCAUAUAUAAAUAAAUAUAAAUUGCAUUGAUUAAUUAGUUUGAUUUAGUUAAUUAAGUUUGCUGGAGAGAAUUGAUUGAAACAAAAGUUGUAGUUUAGUGCAUUAACUGCGAGAAAUUCGAAUUCAGUAAUCAAACUGAAAUCUUAACCUGAGCACAGUUCGGGGAAUGUUUUGCUGUCACCUACUGAUAUUUUUUUUUCCUGCUUUUGCCUUUUCUCUUAUAAUUUUUACAGGCGUAGUUGCCUCACAUCUGUAGCUAAAUUUAUUUUUAUCAAUGAAUGAAGCAGAUAGCGUACUAUUUUAUUCUCAAAAAAAAUAAUCAAACUGAAAUCUUUUCGGAUGAGAGAUAUAAAGACAUCAAUACAGAAUUAUGACUUAACGGAUUGUUUUUUCUCAAUCUUAUUAUAUACAGCUACUCGAUCUUCACACUUCAGUGUUUUAGUAACUAAAUAUUCUUAUAUUUCGUAGUCGCAUCUCUCAUCCCCAUUUUACCAUUCAAAGAAAAAAGAGAAAAAAGAAAAGCUCAACAAGUCUUAUAUAUGUCUUGUGCUUCAUCUCUUCUUUUUUUUUUUCUUUUCGAAAUUGUAGCAUCAAUACUCCACUCAGAAAAAAAAGAAAAAAGAAAAAAAAAAAAAGACUAGCAAAUGGUAUGUUAGAUUAAUACAGUAGGCUAUUGGUUUAAAAUGCUCAACUUCAAUGGAAAAUGGUUGCACUGCUAAUUUGUGGCAAAAACCGGUUUAAGAGAGCGGAUUUUAAUAUUGACAGAUAAAUUUAUUAGAUUUUCUUGCUGUGUAUUAACUAAAUUUUAUCAGAUUUAUGCAUUUGACCAAUUUCUUGUAAAUUUGGCAAUGUUAAUAUCACUUUUCUUAGUAAAAAAAAAAAAAAAAAAAUUCUCUUUCCAUAUCUACCUAACUAAAUACCAUAGGGAGUAGGGAUGCAAAUGGAUGCACGUUGUUGGAACUCCCGUCCUGAUUCGCUCCGAAUCGCUAAUUAAAUGGAACAGAAAGUAGGAGAUUCAUUUCUUUUUUUGAUCCGUCUCGAUCUGCUAAAAAUCUACAAAAAAAUCUCUCCAGCUUCGAUUCGCACUGCAUAGAGUGGUAAGUGGGGGCCAAAAAUAGAAUUAAAAUUAAUCUAUUCCAAAUCUAUUUCGAUUUGACAAGAAAUAAAGUGGACGGUGGGAACCCCUCCUGCAUCUGGAUCCGCCCCGUUUGCAUCCCUAAAGGGAAGACUUUAAUUUCCCCAGCUCCAAAGAGGGGUCUUAAAAAAAAAGAAAAAAAGAAAAAAAAAAGGGCUGGAAUUUAUCUGGUCCUAAAUAAAACCCAGCCUAUUGGGCCAACCCAGUAUGGGCUUAUCUUUGACAUAGUCUAGUCAUUGGUCUUUGCCAAUUAUUCUUUAGAUUACAGACAAAACAAAAUACAUAGUCUCUGGUAAAAAAAAAAAAAAAAAGUGCGAUGUAAAAAUAUUCUAUUUACAGUAUGCACCUAAGGUAGCAUUUAGAAAGCUAAGGGCAUUGGAUCAUCUCUGCCACUUACGCGUGUAAUACCCUUCCGAAAAAAAAAUAAAAAUCUUUGUUCUAAGGUAGAAUAAGUUUCACAGGUAACAACACGCUGCUCAAAUUAUACUAGUUUGGUUAAGAUAUGAUUUAAUCAUCCAACCUAGCAAUAGAGAUUUAUUUCUCUACAUCAAACUCUCUUUAGAAAAGCAAAAAGAAAAAAGAAAUAAGCCUUAUUUAAACUAUAGAAUGAUUUGGAAAUCUUAAAAUUUGGACACUUAAAUGAUACAGAAGAGAGUUAAGAUUCCAUAAUGAAAUAUCUAGAUGAUUAGGAGGACCAAUAUGUAUAAAAUCUAAUCAAUUUUACCACAAUUUGAUAGACCCACUUCAACUAGAAGAUACUAAACUAUAGCUCAUUGGAACAAUUGAAAGAGAUGGUUCUUCGAGUUGUAUUAUAUUAUUGGUAUAAGGCCGCGCGUUUUGGUUCUCAAACUUUAAAUUAUUGUUGUUUUUGGCUCAAACUUUUUAAAUGGUAGCAAUUAAGUCCCGUAAAUCUAACUGACUAUAUUGAUGUGUUACUAUUAUAAAAAUAAUUAUAUAGUAGCGUUAUGAUUGAUGACACGAUAAUAAUUAAAAUAUCAUAUUACUUUCUCAUCAGUAAUAUGUUAAUAUUAAUAUUUAAUUAACUAAAGUUUAAACCAAAGUAUCACGCGCCUCAUAAUUUGGGGAUUAAAAGUGUAGCUUAUCUUAUUAUUGCAUAGAAAGGACGAGUCCCAACCCCUCAAUAAAUGCUUCCACUGUAGGCUUAGGAAUAACAAGAACACAAACAUAAUCAUUUUAUUUGUUGUCUUAUUAUCUAAGAUCUAUCAAAUUAUUAAGAUGUAAUAACUGUUAUUAUCUAUGUGUAACACAUCACAUGAUGGGCCCAACUACAUGAUUGUUAACUACCUAAGCAUAAAGUCAUAGUCUUAUUUAAUGUGAUGGAUUAAACACAUGAAAUUGAUGUAUUUCUGUAUAUAUUUCGCUUUGUGUUGCUUAUAAAAAAUAACUUUUCUAUUUAAAAAAAACAGCAGUAAAAUAUGUUGUAAUUAAUAUCUAGAGCUAAAAUAAGUUUUCUUCGAUUAUGAUGAAAUGUUGUAUUUGAAGAAACUCUUUUCAAAAUUCACUUAUGUAGAGAAGCUCCAGCUAAACUAAUUAAAUAGAUCCUAUACCUUAAAAAAAACAAGGAAAAAAAAACUUAAACUUUUCGAGCAUUAAAAUUGCAAUGAAAGAAGAAUACAACAAAUAUGACAUCACAAAAUUCUUAGAAUUUAUAAUUGAAAUAUGACACUACCUAUAUAUCCUUCACUCUCUUCUCGUUUUCUUAAUUAUUUUAGUUGUAUCAUUUAUUCCUAAUGUUGAUGUAACAUAGAGUUGAGGUACAAAGUACUUUUAUAUCAAGUCCUUACAUUGUUUCUGACGAUGGAAUACCUAAAUUGAUGAUUUCGAUACUACUGAAGAUAAUUUACAGUUUAUGAACUUUUUGAAAAAUAAAUAUCAUGAUUUCUCGAUGUUAUUUACGUGUCGUUCAAAUGGCCAUAAUGUUAAUAAUUUUCAACGGUAUAUAUAAAGCGUACUUGAGACUACUUAAUUAUUAGAUAAAUAAUUACAAAACUAUAAAAAAAUAUAAAAUUAUAAAAUUCAUAAAAAAUCAAUAUAUUGUUGGCCGGCUCAAGUCAAACAAAUUAGGAAGUUGGAUAUAUAGUAAAAUCAAAAUUUUGAAAUAUUAAGUAGGCAAUGCAAAAUAGUUUGUAGUUUAGAUAAAUAGAAAUGAUAUCUAAGAACACUCAAUAAAGAUAUAUAUAAUAUGAGUAUUAUAAAACUUGUGUUUAUUUUGUUAAGAGCUUUAUUUAAUUUUCAAAUGUUGAUAUGUAAAGUUCCAAAUGGUGUCGACUCGUAGCUUUUAAUGAGUUUUGUAUCAUCAUAUUAGUUGGCCCAUAAUAAUAGUAAUAAUAAUAUUGUUAUUAUUAUUCGUAAAUGAGCUGUAUCUAUCAUGGAGGCCACAUGUAUACGACAACAAUAAUAUGUCAUAUUUUACAACUCAUUUACACGUUCACAUGUGUACAUAUAACAUUUAUAAUAGUGCACAUAUAGAGAAAAUAAAUAUAGUCUUUCGUACUCAUAAUUAAGUAAUUUUCGAUGAUGGAGUUUUUGUAUCGACCAUCCACUUCGUUAAAUAUAAUUUAGAAUAUUUGAAAGUUCUAAAAAAUAAAUUUUGUAAUUUUUCGAAAUCAUAAUAAAGCCUAUCAAGGGGGCAUAAAAUGAACGGUUAAAAUUGAACGACGCCCUAAUUAAAAGAGAUGAUCGGGUCCUUCAAUUUAACAUCGAAGUUAUUAAUCUUUAUUUAGAUAAUGAAUAGAAUUUUCUAUCAAAAAAUCAAUCUGUUCAAAUUCUUUUACACCGUUAAACUAGCAAGUAUUUCAUACUGACCGUUAAAAAUUGACAAUUUUGUGACCUUUUGAUUGGAAGGUAAAUGAUGUCGAAAAACUAUAAAAUUUGAUUUCUAGAAGUUUUAAAUACUCUAGAUAAUGUUUAACGGUGUGGAUUGUCGAUUCGGAAACUCUAUUAUUAAAAAUGACUUAUGAGCACGAAAAUAAUCGUACUUAUAUUAAUAUAGUAGCCGGACUCUCUCUCUAUAUAUAUAUAUACACACACAUUUGUAUAUGUUAUGUGUCACAAAAAGAGUACCAUUAUGGGCACAUUAGUUUGCAGGAUAUAUAUAAUCAUCUAAUGUAUGUGGAAUGUGGCUAGAGAGUUUUUGUCAUGUAAUAUGUAUGUUUGUUUUUUUUCCAUUGGAGCAGUUCUCAUAGAAAACAAGUUCAGAAAUAUAUAAUAACACUUCUAUUCACGUACAUAAUAAAUAUAUAUAAAGAAGAGGAAUAUGAAAUUAAUAGAUGAAAUAGGAGAUAAAAGAUCGUAAUUUAACUUGUUAUUGCAUAUGAGAUUGGAGAUAAGAGAUUGGAAUUUAACCCAUUAUAUAUAAUGCGGGACUUUUAACUUGUGAAAUGUUGAAGGUGAUAACUGAAUCCAUGAUGGAUUUAAAAUUGACUCCCGUACCAUAUUAUCUAAAAAAUCAAAUUUGUAGAAAAUGAGUCCAAAAACAUAUAUUAACACUUUAAACAAAAUUAUUCGAAAAGCACUAACAGUAAUUUCAGUAAAACCGUCCUAAAUAAGCUUCUAGCCAAAAAGUGAUAUCGUGUUUGGUACAUUUUUUGUUUUUAUUUUGUAAAUUUAAAUUCUGUUACAUCACAAAAGCUAAUAUUCACAUUUUGUCAUACAUUCUAUUUGUCCAACACCAAAAAUAUUACUUCAAAAUUAAAAGGAAUUUUCAAAAUAACCGAGCUAAUAUGUAUCAUUAUAACUACAUGUCUUAUCCUUCUUUAAAUAUCCUUUUUUUUCAAUUAUUACCAUGGCAAAAUUAAAUUAACCAUGUUCAGUGUCAUUGUCAACAAAAUGACUUAAUAUGUAAUUAUAGUAAAAUAGAAUAGUUUUUGGAGAUUAUAGACCACUUGCUUGUGAGAUGUAUGCAUGUAUUGCCGAUUUCUGUUCAUGCAGUGUUUACAGGAUGCGACCGAACCAUCAUAUGAAUGGGAUGUCAAAGCAUUUUGGGACUAGGUUUGGAAAGAAAGGCACCCUCAGGAUGCGAAUAAGCAAUUGACUAUUCUAGCAGUUAGUUGGUGGACAGUUUGGCUUGACAGAAAUAACACGAUCUUCAAUCAAAAAAGCCUGGACCCUUUGCGUGCAGUCGGAAGGAUCAGAUGUGUUGUGAAGAUGUGUGAGGCUAACGUCAAGUAAAACAUCUCUAUGAACGUGCGAGCGACUGACCUAAAUUCCUCCUCCUUUUUUAAAAAAAAACUAUUUGCUAGUUUUUACUCGUUGUUUUUAUCUUCUAUUAUUUUCUGUCUUUUUCUCUUUCGAGACCUGGCAGCCUCACUCUUGUAGCUAAAUUUAAUUUCUUAUUGAAUGAAAAAGGUAGCGUACUACCUUUCUCUAGAAAAAAAAAAAGGAAUAUUUUUUGGAUCCCUUCACAAAUUUGGGGGCUUUGUGUUUAAUUAUGGUGUAAAAAAUUAAACACCAUCACACCCUCUAUAUAUGAAUUCAUGUAUAUAAUAUAAUUAAUGCAUUGGGCCCAUGAUGCAUGGAUUGCAUGUGACUUCUCUAUCAAUGGUGGCCUAACAAAUAAAAAAGAGGAUGAGGUUCCGUGAUCCCAUAAAAGCAAAAUAUACUACUAAUAUUAUAGCAUUUUAAAGAAGUGCUUGGAUUAAGCAAAGCUAAACACUUCAAGUAUCUCACAUUAAAAGAUCCUCAAUAGGUUCUAACUGAAGCUAGAAGCAGAAACUUCAACUUGAAUCUACUGCUUGUUUUCGUCUACUCAGAAGCUUAAUUAUUUUAUUUUUCUGAGCUAUUUUACUAUUUACACUUAUGAUAAAGCUUCUUCUAAUUAAAACAAGGGUCUCUUCCACGAUCUAAUCAAUCCUCUAUUCCGUGCAGCACUCAAAUCUUUACGGUACAGACAGUAAAUUGAAAACUAUUACACUAGAAGGAGAAUUCUUAUAUAAUAUCUGCUUUUUAGAAUGACACAGAAGCUAAAUUACAAAAAAAAAAACUUCAAUUGGAAACUCUCUAAAGACGCACGGUUAAGGAGGUCUUUUUUUUAUUUGGUACUAGAAAACACUCGAGAAUAAUUAGAUGGAAGCGAAAGUAAUAGUGGAUCAGAAACUCUUCAAUGAGGUUUUAUUGAGAAGCUUUUCACUAAAAUUUUAUUUCUAAAUUACUGGUGUCAUGAUGAUAGUAAUAAAAAAAUGAAACUUAGGAGUUAGAAAUGUGGGAGGUCAACAAGCUCUAGAUUUCUAAAAACAAAAUAAAAUUGGUUUCAAAAGAGUGGUUGGAGAGAAAGGUAACAAAUUAGGACAACAACAUGAGACAGGAGAAAGUUAGGGCUUGUUGAAGGAUUUCAAGUGUUCCACACAAUACUUAAAGAAAAAGGUGUCACACAAUACCCACUCCCACCAAAAAGCCUUAACUCCUCAUGUGACCCUUAACCAACAAAAAUUUCCAAAUAAUGAGUGCCUCCCCAUUAAAGUAGGGUUCCACAUAAAUUUCCCAAAAUGCCCCUGUGGCACCUAUGCCCAAAGAGAGUGUGCAUUAACUCCAACAGCCUGUAUGUAACCAAAGCCCUCAUUAUAUAUUUUUAGCAUUAUUAAUUUCUCUGCCUAACCCUAAUAAAUUUAUGAUGUUGAAAGAAGCAUAGCUAGAAGAGGCAAAUAGGUGGAGAAGCUAAUUUGAACUUUUGAAUCUCUUCUUGGGUGGGAAUCUCCUCCUCACACCAGAAGUUUACUCUGACAUCUAAAAUUUCAGACUCUAAUUGAAAUUAUAUAACAAAAAAAAUACGAUAAAAAAAAUUCAGUUUGUUUCAAUAAAUGACAUUACGCUACAUAUAUCAAAAUAUUUCGAUUAAGUUCCAUUUUAUUAUGAUCUAGUUUAAGAUAGAAUGAGUUGUUUACAACAGAUUGAAGAUGGGAGAAUUCACUUUCACAUAAAGUGCUUUGGAAAUUGAAUCUCCCAAAAAUAAGAAAUUCUAAAAUAUUAAAAAGAUACUUAUUUUUUUAGAAACAAAUUACCCAAAAAAGAAGAAGAAGAAGAAUAUACAAAAAUUAUGAGAAAUAAAAGACCAUUCCAUCAUCUGAAAGAAAGGGAAAAGGAGAGAGGGGGAAAAAAAGAAAAGAAAAAAAGAAGUACAUCAUGAAAAUGAAAUAAAUCCUUUACCUUCAAUUUGUUGUCCAAUCACACAAUUCCCUUUUCCCUUUCCAUAACUAUAUAUAUAUAUAUAUAAGAAUCUUAAACAAAAAAAGUAGUAGUAAUCCUAGGAUGCAAAUUUGGUUGAUCCAGUUUUCAAAGAUGAUUCCCCACUCUGUUUUGCCUCCCCACAAUCCAGUUCAGAGUCCUCCUGGCAAAUGAAGGAGCCUCAUCUGCUCUUGAGCACAGCCUCUUGCUGCUGCUGCUGCUGCAGCUGCAGCUGCCAGCCUCCAAAUCCAACUCCAGCUCACCCCCACCAGUCUUCCUCCUCGGCUCCUCGUUGCGGUGGAACGGCAGGCGGAACGACGCCGCCCGCUGCCGCGAGAAUUCGGCGCAGUCCUUCUUCGGCCGCAGCCACGUUUUCGACACCGAAAAGCUCUCCCUCUUCUGAAUUGCGGUGCCGGGCCGCGCGGUCUCGGCGGCGUCGAAUCCCUUGAAACCUUCCCGCCGCGAAUUGCAGUCGCACUCCGACAUGGCGAGGCGGUGGCCGGGCCUUUUCGCUGCGGCGGAGGCGGUCGGUUUCUUCUUCGGAGGCUUGAUUGGCACCUUGAGAGAGGAGGCCUCGUCCAUUACGUACUCAUAAGACCCCAUGGAAAAACACCUCCUUUGAUCCAAAUUCGUGUUGUUACCACCAUUGUUACUGUUACUGUUACUGUUACUGUUACCGUCGCUGCUCCCUUCGCCCUCUCCUCCGCAAAUCUCCACACUCCGGAACUUGCCGAGCUUAACGGAGACAAUUUUCUCAUCAGGAACCGCCGAGCAUGCAAUACCCGCGUCCUCUUUCUCCGCUGUUUUGGGGGGAAUCUCGUGGCUCAGGGGGCCGAACUCGUCGUCUCCGGCGACGGCAAUCUCCAUUCUUUCGGAGCCGAUCUCCCUGAAGCUCUCGCCGCCGCCCGAUUCGAGCAGGAGCAGCACGGGGCUGCAGCUGCUGGCGGGGGAGUAAUCGGGCAGGAGGCUGCUCCGGCAGAGCGGGCAGGUGGAGUGGGAGAGCAGCCAGGUAUCGAUGCAGUCGACGUGGAAGGCGUGGCUGCAUUUGGGGAGGAGCCGGAGCUUGUCGUCGGCGUCGAACUCGCACAAGCAGACGGCGCAGUCGAAGGGGUCCUUGAGGCCGAUGAUGGCGCGGUAGAGGAAGACGGGGAGGGCGUCGAUGAAGGAUUGGUCGACGCCGGCGUCGUGGAGGUGGAAGAGCUGCUGGAGCUGGCCCUGGAGGGCGGUGGCGUCGUCGAGCUCGUCUGGGUCGCGGGAUGGGGGCCGCAGCAGGUAUCUGACGAGCAGGUGGAGGAGACCGGAGAUGAAGAAGAUGACGGCAAGGAUCACGAUGAUUAGGAGGAUGCUGGGGCUGAUCUUGUUCUGGAAAUUGGUGUUGUCGUAGAGAGGAGGAGGAGGAGUAGCAGUAGCAGUAGCAGUAGCAGGUGGGGGAUGAGUAGGGGGAGAGGAAAAGUUGGAUCUUUUGAUGGCUUCAUGAGAGAGCCGAUUCAUGGUUUGGUGUUGAACAAGGCAUAAAGGUGGGAGAAGUUGGAGAAGAUGAGGGGGACUCAAUUAAAAAUCUCUUCUUUUUUUUUUUACCAAGGUUUCUGCAUGCUGCUUUUGUUGAUGGUGAUGUAGAACAAGAGAGGAGGUGUGAGAUUGAGAGAUUUGAAUUAUGAGAGAGAGAGAGGGGUCAAAGUGAGGAGGAGGAGGAGGUGAGAUCCUUAAUGGGUGGAGAAAUAAAUGGGGUGCCAGGAGGAGGGUGUGUAAAGAGAAGUAAAUGAAUGACUUGAGUGAGUGCUAUUAGGGAGGGAGAAGGGUAGGGGAUAUAAGAGUGAGGCUACUAUGCUAUCGGAAGCACUAAACCUUUCGUGCUUUCAGCUUGUUUUCGAUGUUGCGAUUUUCGAAUCAUCGAUCGGCUCCGUUAAACUUGAUCUAGAGUAUUUGAAGUACCUAGAAAAUAAAUUUUAUUAUUUUUCGAUAUCAUUUGCCUAGUGAUCGAAUGAGCUCAAAAUCAACAAAUUUCAAUGGCCGUAGUGAGCCCGUUUGCAAGUUUAACGGUGUAGAAAUAUCCAAAUCACGUGAAAUUUUGAUAGAAAAUUCUUUAUACUAUAUAAAAUAAAAUCAAUAUCUUUGAUUUAAAAUUUUAAUGUCAUAUUAUCAUAUUUUGUAAGAUUUUUAUUUUCAGCCGUUGAUUUUGAGCCCAUUCGAUUACUAGGCAAAUGAUAUCGAAAAAUAAUAAAAUUUAUUUUCUAGGUACUUCAAAUACUCUAGAUCAAGUUUAACGGAGCCGAUCGACGAUUCGAAAGUCGCAACAUCAAAAACAAGCUGGAAGCACGGAAGGCUCCGUGCUUCCGAUAGCAUAGUAGCCUCACUCGGGGAUAUAAUAAUAAUAAUAAUAAUAAUAAUUAAUAAUAAUAUUGAACUUUUUUCCAGCUGGAAAAAUCCAAUUCCUUAAAUGGGGAUCUCCAUGGAUACAGAAAACUAAUAUUUCAUCUGAAUCACCCAUCAUUCCUAAUGUAAGUGGUAAAGAAUUUAUUAGUUGGUAUUCAAAAUUUUAAGUUGAAAAUUUAGUUGUUUUAUACUUUCAACAAAAUUUAUUUUUAAAAGAUAAAUAAAACAGAUAGCAUGCAUGCUUCAUUUCUCUUUAAAAAAAUAUUUUAUUUGAAUUGGAAUCUCGACGAGACGGAUUUAUUUGAUGUUAAAUGAGGAUGAUUUUAAAUACAGAUGUAGAAUACAAAACUUUAAUGAAUUUGGAUUCAGAUAUAAUUUUGUCUGCACUCGAUUCGAACCCGAAUCUCACCAUAACCUGAAUUGAUUUUAUAUAUAUAUAUAUAUAUAUAUAUAUAUAUAUAUAUAUAUAUAGGAGNAUAUAUAUAUAUAUAUAUAUAUAUAUAUAUAUAUAUAUAUAUGAUUUUAUAUUUAAAUUUAUAUUUUAAAAUUUUAGAUUUUUAAUAUAAUAUGUUUCAAAAUAUGAUAAGGAAAAAUAAUUAUUUUGGAUUCGGAUUUCGGGUUUGGUUGUCGAGUUGGGGCUCAGAUUCAGAUUUGUGGAAACCCGCCCCAAAUCCAAUCCGUUGACAUUUCUAUUCUUUGCUGCUACACCUAUAAUAAAUAAUAGAAAAAAAAUAAAAUUAAGAUAAAAAUAUACAUAACUAAUCUGAACUAUAAAUCAUUUUGAAUCAACUAUCCUAUCAUUUAGAAUUUUGAUUUUAAUAUCCACCCUUUCAAUUUAUUUGAUUUGAGUUGGUUAAUGAUAUUUUGAUCUUAAAAUUUAAGCUAAUUGGUCACUUCAAUAAAUUUUCAAUUGCGGAAAUUGCAUGAAGUAAUACUAACGAAGGCUGUAUAGAUAAGCGACGCAUUCAAAUUUUAAUGUCAAAAUACUGUUGACGGGCUCAAAUCAAACAAAUUGAAAGAUUGGAUAAUAAGAUCAAAAUUUUGAAAAGUUAUAUAACUGACUAAAAUAACCUAUAGUUUAGAUAGAUUCUAUAUAUUUUUACCAAAUUAAAAUCAAAAUUUUUAGAAACCAAAAUUUUCAAUUUUUCGAUAUUAUUUGCUCAUUGAUUAAGUAGCGUCAAAUUUGUCUUGCAUUAGCCAUAAAAUAAUAUUAAUUUUUGAACUAUUUGAAGACUGGAAAAAUAAUAUGAAAAAAUUAUAAAAUCUGAAAUUGAAAAUAUCCUAGAUCACGUUUACUAUGCAAAGGCAAAUUGGAAAAAAAAAAAUCAAUUUAAAUAUGUAAACAGACCAAGAUGGAUUAAUUUAUAAAUUUUGAACAUUUGAAGGAACAUAUUUACAUAUUUUACAACUAAAAUUUAUGAGGGACAACAAAUUAAUAAUUAAUUAGUAUAUUGGUUAAAUGGGAGGUGAAUUAAACAUAGUAAUUAACAUGCAACCUCCCCCUUAACCAAAUAAAUAAAUAAACAAUUAAAAUCUUAAAUGAAAAAGCUUAUAUUCUCUAUCUCUCUCUCUCUCUCUCUCUCCUUUGUAUUUGACUUUCCAAAAGCGCUUUUGCACCAAGCUCGAAGCCCCAUUAAAUUCCUCUUCUCAUGCAACACGAUAAAAUCAUAGAAUAUAUACGUAGCGUGUUGCCUCCCUAUGUAUACAAUCUUAUUCCAAUGUGUAGUCUCUCUCACUCUUAAUUUGGGGUGAUUAUAUAUAUGUUUUUUAUUUUUCAAAGAAAAAGUUCUUAGGCAAAUUUAUUGAAAUUUGAUAUAUACAUUGAGGAUCAUAACAUAGUUCUAAAAAAAUAAAGGAUAAAAAUUAAAAAAUAACCGCUCGAAUAAUCAAAACUACCUAACCCAAAGUAGAUGUAGUUAUAUAUAUCGCGAGUUUGUCCCCAAGUGAUAUUUUAUAAGUUGAGCUAUAAUGCUAUUAGCAGCGCAAAGGCAAUCACGUUAUAAGUACAUUUACGGCGAUGGAGCAUCAAUUUUAACUAAUGACACCAAAAAUAUAAUCUAUGGUAUUUGAACAUUCUAAGAACUGAAUUUUACGAUUUUUUAAAAUCACUUGCUAAGUCACCAACUUGCCAAAAAAUUGAAAUGUCAGAAUUACAUAACGCCCUUGUAAAAAUAGAGGAUAUAUAAAUUGACGUUACAAAUCUUAUUCUAGAUGGUUAAAAGAAUUUUCUAUCAAAAGAUUCUGUGAUUUGAAUUGUUCUCUACAUAUGCCAUUAAAAUUGUCAGUUUUGAGGCCACUUGAUGAUUAAAAAAUUAAAUAAUAUUAAAAAAUCACAAAAUUUCGUAUCAGAAAAAUUAAAAUGCUUUAGAUCAUAGUUGACGGUGUUGAUCGUCAAAAAAGGGAUAAGUGCAAUUAUAGUAUUCAGUAUUGUUCAUAUAAUCUUUUUUUACUACUUAUAAUAUGUAAGAAAAGAAAUAUUACAAGGAAAUUAAAACGUUAGGUUAGUUUGAUAUCAUUAUAAAUUUGUGACACAUACUAUGCCUCAUGUCAUCAUCGUUGAGAUUAGAUAUUUUUAACUAGUACUUUUUUUUAUUUAUGUGGUGUAAUGACGUACUACAUUUAAUCUUGCUUUUGUCAUGCAUCUUUGAAUAUGACUUGGUUUUUGUAUUUAACCAUAAAAGAAGACUAAUUUUUUAAUGCAAAUCAAUAGAAGAAGAGUGAUUCACUAAUGAAAUUGAGAUUACAUUCUCACACAACUACUACUCAAAUGGUUCGUGAAAUGUUGUAAAUAAGUUUAAGCAACACCAAGAGGAAGUUUUAUAUCAGUAGAAUAACUAUGUGCAAAAUAAAAGCCGCAGAUGCUACCAUGUACAUAUACACUAGAAAUAAAAUAAGACAAACUACAGCUCCGCGGCUCGCUCGGCAAUCGAUUCAAAUUCAGUGUCAAAUAGUCGUCGACGUCGAUGUCGCUUCUGAGAUGAGAUUCGAUUGAGAAAGGAUCCUAGAGUAUUUCGUAAUUUGGCGAUUAUAAAUGUCAUAUAGGCCAUGGGUUUAUAGUUGGUAUCCAGUGUACAAAGUUCGUAGUCUAAUUAUUUCAUAUUUUUAGUUAAGUUUAUUUAAGAGAAAUAAUAAUAAAUGAAGCAGCUAGCUUACUAUCUCUCUCAAAAAAAGGGUGUUGAUCGAUAUGAUUAAAAAUGUAUAUAGUCUUUCUUUUGCUUCCCCUUUACCUAUUUUAGAUUUAUUUUUUGCUUCUUCUGAUCAAUAUAUCAUUUUUGGUUAAUUUCUUUGACCCACUAACCAUGGAAAUUGGAGACAACACAAUGAUCAUGGGCUUCUCUUGUUCUAUCUUUUUGGGCACUUUAGAGAGAUAAAAGUGUAUACAACUAUCUCUCUCUCUCUCUCUCUCACACACACACACACACACACUCCAUCAUAUGAGUAACUACUCACAAUACCCACAAAAGGUUAUGAGAGAGAGAGAGAGAGAGAGAGAGAGAGAGAGAGAGAGAGAGAGAGAGAGAGAGAGGUGGUGCAUGAUGCAUGGAUUGUUGUGGGUUGACAUUGAGAAGGCUCACGUUUUCAUGCUGCGGGGGACCUCAAUAUUCGUGCCAGCAAAAUGGGGGAGCCAUAUGCAUAGAGAGAUAGAGGUGUAAAUACACUUGCAUGGACCCAAAGCCACGUAAAUAACAAAAUUAAUUAAACAAAGUUUUAAUUUCACCAGGACUCGUGCUUGAUAUAUAUAUAAUCCUCUGAUCAUGCAUAUAUUGAGGUCAUAAAUAUAUAUAUAUAUAUAUAUAUAUAUAGGGAUGUGGAGCCACACGUUGGAGUAGGAGUUAUAGUAAUUAAUUUGCUUGACCUUAGUUAAUCACAACACAACAUCUUUGGAAUUGGGGUUUUAAAAAAUAUAUAUAUUUAUAUACAUGAGUUAUGAUUUUUUGAGGUUUGGAUUUUGAUUCCAUUGACUUAAAUGAGUUUUAUUGUGCUUAGUGAUCAUAUUUGACUCUCGCAUUAUGUGUAAUAAUAACAACUUAAUUUCUUAGAGCACACCAUUAAAUUUAUUUUUUUAAUGUAUUAAUGUGAUUUCAAUGGUAUAUAUAUGAAUGAUCUGAUCAUGUAAAUGGAGAUAAUUAUUAGAACGGGUCUGAUCCGGAUCAUUUUACUGAAUCCAAACACAUUACUUAAUUAGCAGUACGUAAUCCAAAUCCGACCCAAACUAUAUAAUUAAUAUCUCAUUGGAGAAAACAAGCAAGGCAAAUGGAUAAAUCUUACUACAACUAGCUAGAGAGAAAAAUACUAAAAUAUAUUUGACACCUAAAAAUGUAUUUGAGUUUUAAACUUUUUUAAUUCAUUUCUUUCAAUUCCACUACUUUUUUAAAUAAGCAAUUCAGAUAAGAUUCAUACUCUUUUACCAUAUAACAGUAACUCCAAUAAAUACAAUGGUGCUACCGACCGUCCCUAGAGCAAGUGGCAAAGGGCUUGGUGGUUGGUACCCAAGACCCAAGUUCGAAUCCUAGUUGAUUCACAUUUCUAGUUAAGUUUAUUUCUAAAUGAAAUGAACGAAAUGGGUAGCGUGCUACCUAUUUCUAAAAAAAAAAAAAUACAAU
rnacentral:lncRNA from 1 species